rnacentral:lncRNA from 1 species
CUUGGGUGGUGAUGGUGGUGGAGGUGGUGGGGACUUGUACUUGUAAGGGUGCUUGGGUGGUGAUGGCGGUGGAGGUGGUGGAGACUUAUACUUGUAAACUGGAGAUGGUGGGGGUGGAGACUUGUACUUGUAAGGGUGCUUGGGUGGUGAUGGUGGGGGUGGGGGUGGGGGUGGGGACUUGUACUUGUAGGGGUGUUUGGGUGGUGAUGGUGGUGGUGGUGGUGGGGACUUGUACUUGUAAGGAUGCUUGGGUGGUGAUGGUGUUGGAGGUGGAGGAGACUUGUACUUGUAAGGAUGCUUGGGUGGUGAUGGAGGAGGUGGUGGGGACUUAUACUUGUAAACAGGAGUUGGUGGGGGAGGAGAUUUGUACUUGUAAGGCUUCUUGUGUGGUGGUGGUGGUGGUGGAGAGUAGACCGGAGGAGGCGGUGGUGGAGACUUGUAAUGGUAAGGUGGUGGUGGGUACUUCUUAGGAGGUGGUGGAGGAGAAGAAUAAGUGUAAUCUGCUGAGGUUUCAAAAGGCAAAUUGAGAGACACUGCUAAAACUAAAAGAGUGAGAAAGAGAGAGGUCAUUGAUGACCCCAUUUUCCCCAUACUUCUAAAAAUGGGUUUAAUUUGGUUAUGCUCUUAGCAACCCUCUUCACUCCCUUUAUAUAGACUUUUUUUUUAACCUUAUAAUCAUGAUAAAAGUUUGAAGAUGGACCGAACCUUCAGCAGCAUGUAAAAAAGACAUUACGUUUAGGUUAUUAGCAUGGUAUGAUAUAAUAAUUCUCUAUUCUCUUCCUUGUCGUUUCCCAUAAAUUCAAUUUUCUCUAUUAAAUAUUUAUCAAAUUCAUUUCUCACUCCCUAUUAAUUCUUUAAUAAGUUUAUAGAAUAUGAAUAAUUAAUCAUUAAACUCGAUUUAAUAAAUACUUUAAACAAUUAAUAAUUUAUCUUAUUUUAUGCUUUAAUUAAGGCAUCAAAUCAUAAUCCUAUUUUAUAUUUUGAAAAUUUAUCAUUUUUUAAAGAACUUAAUUGAUUAAAAUGUGAUUCUAAUAUUUGGCAGGAAAAAUUAGUUUACUUUCCUUAGAAUGUAAUAUUCUUUUGAGAGUUAUUUUCUUACUAAUAAUAGAAAGUGAUAAUUCGUGAGAAAAUUACUUUCACAUGUAAAUAAAAAUUAUUAGAACAAAAAAUUAACUUUCUUUUAUUUAUGUUUAGGUACUAAUUAACUUAUUGAGAUAAAGAUAGUUGUAGCUUGCUUUUUCAUGUCAUUUUCUUAUCUUUACAACUUCAAACCAUUAUUCUAGAGUAAGUUUUUUUUUUUUUUUCUAAAUAGUAGAUAAAUAUCUAUAUUUUAUUUUGCUAUAAGAAAAUUAUAUUUUUUAGCAUACAAAACUUAAAGACAACUUGUAGAAUCAAGUAAUUCUAUGAAAAGCAAGCCUAUUCACAUAUAAUACCUAUUACUCUAGCAAUAAUAAUAUUGACAUUGUCUAAAUUUUCUAAUAAAAAAAUUAUAUAAUUUGUAUGUGUUAAAAAUGAAAAAUAUGGCGGUUAUUAAAAAAGAUUUCAUACAUCUAAAUGAAACUACUAAUUUAAAAAUUAGUAUUGAGAUAAUUUCAAGUUAAUAUUGAAUAUACUUGAAUUUGUACAUACAAAGUAAUGAGGGUAAAAAUUUUGUAAAUUGUACAUCUUCACAAUCUUGAGUUAAUAUACAAUUUUUUAAUGUAUUAAUAUAAUGUUUUAGAUCAAGAUGUGAAAAAACAUAACUCAAAUAUUUGUUAAUAAUAAAAAAUUAUUAAUAAAUAUUUAAUUCAAAAUUUAUUAAUAAUAAAAAUUAUUGAAAAAUAUUAAAUACGUUAAUAUUAUUUUUAUAUAAUAAUGAUAAUUUUGUACAGUAAUCUUAUAUUCUCAAUAAGUGUUAAAUGUCUCAAGAUUUUAAUUAAUACUUUUCAGUGGUUACCAAACAUUGUGAAAUAACUUCUUGAACAAUGAUAUUCUUAUCAAUCACAUUCCAUUAGAAAUUUAACAUAGGAAAGCACCAAAACAACCGCUUAAAAAUGAAUGUGCAUGAUUAAAAUCGCGAUAAGUCUUGUUUAUCUAAAAUUUAAAUAUUCAUUUUAUUAUUUAAAAUAUAUUAAUUUUCCAAAAACAAUCAUUAAUAUUUAUAUUUCUAAUUUUAAACAUUCUUUUGUUAAUUAAAUGAUAGUGUAAACGGUUAAACUCAAAUCGAAAGCAUUUUAUCUUAUAGUAGAUUAUAUGACUCAUAUUAUGGUUGAAAGUAAAAUGUAUAAAAUCAAUACAAACAUCAAAUAUUAAACUUGCACUCAAUAGAUUUUAAAAUUUCUAAUUUUACCACUAAUCUAUUUUAAGAUUUUUAAAAAAUCGUACUUUAGAUUAUCUAAUUUAAAUUUUAAAAUUAUUAAAAAUAAAAAAAUUCUUAAUAAAAAAAUUUGUUUCAAAUUUUUAACCUUUUAAUAUAAUUGUUUUAACUGGUUAUCUAAACUAAAUAAAAACUUAUUUAGUAUAAAAAAAAGUGGUAAAUGUGAAAGGAGCACAAAUCACAACUACAAUAUGCUACAUUAGUUUUAUAAUUGGAUUAAUUUAAUCACCGGCAGAGGAAAUGUGUUAGUUCUAGCUACCACCAAUUUAUUUUAAUUCCUUUAAAAAUAUUAGAAAAAAUCAAUUUGAUUUUUAAUAAUAGAUCUAAUUACUUAAAGGAACAUCGGUGAUGUCCACAUGGCAUACAAGGUUAAGCAUAUAAAAAAAGAACAAAAAGAUUAAGUAUCUUUGCAAGAUAGCUUUCUGAAAUAAAUAAAACUUAAAUAAAAACAAUUUUAUUAUCAAAAUAAAAAGAAAAAAGAAAAGAAAUACUAGUGUUUUUAAUUAAAAUAGAGUGAUCUGGGUAGAAUCUUUUACUUAAAUACUGACAUUGACUUUAUAAGCUAUUUUUUAUCAAAAGAAGAAAGAGAAAAGCAUCCGAUUGAAGAUGUGAAUUAUUAAAUUAAAAUUAAUCAUACAUGUAAAAUUUUAUUGUGCUUUUUUCUAGCCCUCCGAAUGACAUUAUGCUUUGAUUACAACAUUCUUGCUCAGAGAUCGGGUUUGAAGAUGAACUCGGAUGCAUUUAGAUUUUUACAAGUAAAUUAAAGGAUGUUAGAACUUGUAUUCCGAUAAACUUAUAAUACAGAAAGCAAGUAAUAUGUGACUGUACAUAAUGGCUAUGAGGCGAGGAUAUGAUAUGAGAAGAUAGAGAUGAGAGAUUGCACUUAAGGGGUUAACACCACUUUCCUUUUUGUGUUUGGUCCCCAAAGCAUCUCUUAUUGGCUGAUGUUGCAAGGCCGUCCCAUAAGUUGGUCUAAAAGUGCUUGAUAGCUAGAAUUAAUAUUGUGGUAUAACAUAUGUCACCACUAGGUUUGAAUAAGGUUACACAGUGAUUUGAUGAAGAUUUAAAAAAGCAUAGAGAUAAUUAUGUUGCAAAUAUUGUAAAAGUAAGAGCUAAAUUGUUUGGCUUUAUUAGAGUUUAGACUCUGUUAGUCUAUUACCAUUCUCUAUUAGUCUGUUACCAUUUUGUUAUAUAGGCUGUAAUAUUGUUAGAAAGCAGUUAGCAGCUGUUAGUCAUAGUAGUUAGUCAUACAAAUAUAAAUUCUAUUCAUGUAUUGUUCAAAGGUAAGCUAAUAAUAUCAGAAGCGAUUUAAUGUAUUCAUUCUACUUUUUUUUUAUUCUUCAUAAUACAGUUGUUAACAUGGUAUCAGUACCCUAAUUUCUUAGAGGUCGCUUCUAUUGUAGAUCCAUGGCCAAUUCCACUGAUUCUACCUCCACUGGUCGUAGCAGUCCCUCGUUCUCGAUUCAUGUUUGGUUCAAUCGUUUCCUCGUCGUCACACUGAGAAGUUAGAUGAAAGAAAUGUUAUGCAAUGCCAACAGCAUAUCCUAUUGAUAAUUGAAGGGUAUGAACUCAUAAGAUUUUUAGAAGGGACGUUACCUACUCCGCCUCGCUUUGUGUCAUCUCCCGAUGGAACCUUGGCUUCGGCUCCCGAUGCAUUCCUGUUUGUUCAGCAAGAUAAGUUACUCGCUCUUUGGUUGCUUUCUACGAUUAGUGCUCCUUUGUUGUCCUCUUUUAUAGCUGCUAAGACACCGUGUGAGGUUUGGAGCACUGUGAAUCACCUCUUUACUGUUUCCACCAGAGCGAAGUUAUCGCGUAUUAAGCAUGAACUCCACUCCAUCAAGAAAGGCAUGAUGACUGUCAAAGAGUAUAUUAUUAAGAUUCAAAAUACCUGCACCUUACUCGAGGCAUCUGGAUUGGUGGUUUCGAAGGCCGAGAAGGUAGAGAUCAUUCUUGCUGGCCUAUCGUCAGAUUAUGAUGUCGUUUUAACACUACCAUAGUUCUCUUCUGAAACUCUUCCGUUACAGAAGAUAGUUGUUGUGCUACUGAAGUUCGAAAGCCGUCAGACUCAUGUCGUGAAUGACAUACCUUUUCAUGCUCAUCUGGUAGAGGCCACUUCGGCGACAUCGGUGGAGGACUCCGUACAUGGUAGCCAUCCUCCUCCUGGUGCUCGUGGGCAUGACUUUCGACUCGGCUUCAGUUCCAGAUCUAUGGUUGCUAUGGACAUCUGGCACAACGCUGUUAUUAUCAUUUCAACCGCGAAUACAGUGGUCUAUCUGCUCUGACCAUGGCGCAGGCUUCGCUUUUGUGCUGGGCACUAUUCGUGUGACAAUGUUUUUGGUGCAACUGGUCUCUUGACCGGCUGGUUUCCAUCAGCUCAUCCUAGUUCAAACCCCUUCGAUGUGCCUGGACAGUGUGCCGAUUCUUCGGUGACGGUACCGGCGCAUUUCCCUUAUGGCUCCUCUUGGGGAGGAUGGCCACAUUUGUAAAACAAUGCCUCCCUUGUGCCAAGUCUACCGAAUGUUAGGGUUUCUAACCUUUUUGCUCCUAAUUUUAACAAUGAGGCAAGCUAAGUGUUUGGGCCCGCUGUUGAACCAGGCUCAAAUAGUGACCAAUCUGGUGGUCCUCACUUGCCGCUGAAGAUGGGCUAACGCAUUGGGCCAUUCGCUGGUGUUCCUAGGCCAACUGCUUCAGGCCAAGAUUUUGGCCUAAAUGGAAUUGGUAGGCCAGCCAGUGCUCGUCCUAGCAUUGGAUAGGGUUCACUUGGGUCAAAUGUCAAUUUUAUUGGACUUGAGGGUUCUUUUGGGUAUAGACAAGAGUUUGGGCCCACCACUGGCAAUGUUUCAGUGCCAAUUAAUAGAUCAUGUGUUCCAUGGCACACAAAAUCGAGGGCACGCGUUAUUGAUUUUGAUUCUUCGCUGUGCGUUGGGUUGCAUCGCUUUACUAAUUUUCACGCAUCCGAUUUUUUUACUACCACUGGGUCUAAUGCCAAUACAACUCCAUAUAGGUCUAAUUUUGAUAAUGGUAAUUCUUACAUUCCUAUGCCUAUAGGGACCUCAUCAUGGUGUCUUGAUUUAGGGGCUACGCAUCAUGUCUGUUGAGAAGUCUCUGCCUUGAAUAAGUCUACGCCAUACUCAAGUACAUCUCCUUUCUUCACGGAUGAUGGUAUUCCUACAAAAAUAUCGUAUGUUCGGAAUCUUAUCUUGUCUAUGAAAACCAAAUUGCUUCAUUUGUCUAAUGUUUUGUGUGUGCCAAAUAUACGGAAGAAUUUGCUAUUUGUUUCUCAGUUUGCUAAUGACAAUAACGUGUUCUUUAAAUAUCACCUGUCUUAUUGUGUUAUUAAAGACAUCCAGACUCAUGAAAUUUUACUACGGGGCUACACUCGUGAUGGGCUCUAUUAUUUUUCGUCGGUUACUCUUGCUCUGUUUGUCGUUGUUCCUUUUUUCAUAGCACUGGGAUCUAGAGUCGCAAUGCAUAUGAUGAUUGUUUUGCAUUAUGGCAUCACAGGCAUAGUCAUUUGUCUGCCUCGAUUGUUAAACUUGUUCUCGAUAAGUGUCAAGUUGUUUCAAAAUAAAAUGUGCCUUGAAAAUAUUUGUAUUGCAUGUCAAAACGGGAAGUCUCACAAACUGCCUUUUUCAAGUUCUACUACUGAAUAUACAAAUUUGUUUGAUUUGGUUGUCUCUAACUUAUGGGGACCAACGUCUGUUGUCUGUAGAAAUAAUUUAUAUUAUGUUUUGUUUAUCGAGAUGUGUAGUUGAUAAACCGUAAUUUAUACAUAUUUUUAUCCUAUGUUUGGCACAUUUAUAGAUGAUUUAUCCUUAGAUUUGGUGAAUUCGAUGCUCCUAAUCCUUUAAUUUCAUAUUUUAUACUUAGGAGAGCAUAGGAGGGCAAAAAGAGCGAGAAACGGGCCGAAAACGGAAAAAAUAGACCCACAUGGGAAAUCAACAUGGCCUGGACUUCCUCACACUGGUAAGCCACACGGCCGUGUCCAUUUGGCAGGAUCGAAGCAAGACUUACACGAGUAGACUACACGCCCGUGCCUUUUUAAUAGCCUUGACCACUGUCUGGAGCAAUCGCGCACGGGCAUGUCCCUGUCGAGCCCAAGUAUAGUCUUAUUCGGAAAAGGUCUAUUUUAAGGGCUCUUAGGCAUUCUAAAGCUUAUUUAAUCACCUGAGAAGGCACUUAAAAGGGGGGACACGGAGUAGGAAGCAAGGAAUUACUCGAAGAAAGCCGAUUGAUCCAUCUCAGAAGCCUGAUUAUUCAUCAAGACUGAAAAUCUCCCUUCAAUUACCAUUCAGGAGUUUUGGGUUUUCUUUAUGUUUUGUAUUCAUUAUUCUUCUGAGAUGUUUUCUUUUAUAAUUAUGAUUUAAACCCUCUAAAUACCUAAGGGGAAUGAAACCUAAACGGAUCUUGUUAUUAUUAUCUGAAUUAUAUGAUAAAUAUUUGACUUGUUUUUAAUUAUAUGUUCUUAAUUCUUGUCUUAAUAUUCCAGGAUAUUGAUUCAAGUUAAUGCGCUUAUUCAGAGGAGCAAAAGUCCCUGUCUAAGAGUAAAUUUGUCAUAAUUAAACAGAGUUGAUUGCACACCUAAAGAUAGGGUAACAAGAUUUUGCCGAAUUAGGGUGAAACCUAAUAAGGAGAUCCAUAGAUCGAGUUAAUGCAACACUAGGGCGUUAAAUAGAAAGAGAUUUCAAUUAAUCAACCUAGGGUUAGAUGUUAUUAGUCUUGAGAGAGAUAAUAAUAUAACUUAGGGAUUUGUACGGAUCAUGUCAAAUGGAUAAAUCGACUGAUUCAGAGUCAAAUAACAAGUGAAGUCUAGGUGGAUUUUUCCUUGGGUAUUGUCCUAAUCAAGCGAAUUUUCUAAAAGUAUUUUCCCCAAUUUUUCAAGCGAAUUUUCUAAAAGUAUUUUCCCCAAUUUUCUUUCUCUGCACCCUUAGUUUAGUUAAUUAGUUUUAAUAAACAAAUCCUUUAAUUUUUAGGUUAGAUAAUAAAAAGAAAGUGAUUACUAGUACUCUUGGUUCCUUUGGGUUCGACAAUUCGGUCUUGCUAAAGCUAUAUUACUGUUCGAUAGGUACACUUGUCUUUAUCGUGAUAAUAGUUGGUUUCAAUAACGAUCAUUUCUAAAUUAUUUAAAACUUAUCGCAAGUAUCAUGAAUCAAGUUUUUGGCGCCGUUUCCGGGGAACUAAGAUAUUAGGAACACUUGAUUUUUAUUACUUUAGCCAUUUUUCUUUAUUUUUACUUUAAAUUUUUAUUUUCUUUUCUAAUUUUUCUUUUAUUUGUUCCUGACAGGUUUUUAUAGUUUAUGAUUAGAAGAAACCCGUCGGGACCAUUACUGUUUGAUAGUGAGAUCGAUCGCACAGUUCACAGAAACCAAAGAAAAAUAAGACGAAGCUUAAGAUACAAAAAGGAAGAGUAAGACGACGAUACUUCAACCACAAUCGAGAAGAUGGCUGAAAACCAGGAAAAUUUGCUACCUCCUGUGAUUUCUGCUGAUCCAGUAAAUCAGAAUCCUACUCCACGCACUAAGUAUGAUUAUGCUAAACCUACUUUAACAGGAACUGAGUCAAGUAUAGUUAGGCCUGCUAUUGCUGCGAAUAAUUUUGAACUGAAACCUAACACAAUUGAAAUGAUACAGCAAUUUGUUCAGUUUGAUGGUUUGCAGGAUGAGGAUCCAAACAACCACUUGGAAAAUUUUCUAGAGUUUUGCGAUACAUUUAAAAUCAAUGGCGUUUCUACUGAUGCCAUUCGCCUUCAGUUAUUCCCUUUUUCAUUGAGGAACAAAGCUAAACAGUGGUUGAACUCGUUACCACAAGGGUCAAUCACUGCUUGGGAACAAAUGACCGAAAAAUUUUUAUUAAAAUAUUUUUCGUCGACUAAAACAGCCAAAUUACGUAAUGAUAUCUCUUCAUUUAUGCAAAUGAAUAUAGAAACACUCUAUGAUGCAUGGGAGAGAUACAAGGACCUUUUAAGAAGAUGUCCUCACCAUGGGUUACCACUCUGGCUACAGGUUCAAACGUUUCACAAUGGCCUGAAUCCUUCGACUAGACAGAUGAUUGACGCAGCUGUUGGAGGAACUAUCAAUAAUAAGACACCUGAGGAUGCUUAUGAAUUUAUAGAAGAGAUGUCACUAAAUAAUUAUCAAUAGCAAGUCAUGAGGACAAAACCGAUGAAAGCAACCGGGGUUUUUAAUGUUGAUUCGGUCACCAUACUUUCUAAUCAGGUAGAACUUUUGAAUAGAAAAAUUAACAGUUUUUUUGGUUCUUCACAGGUUCACCCAGUAAUGCAAUGCAAUGCAAGUGGGGGAGAAUUGAGCAAUUCAGAAUGCCCACCCUAUGGCCACAACAUGAAAAACAAGCAAUUAAAUUAUAUGGAUAAUAAUCCUCGACCUCAAAAUAAUCCUUAUAGUAACACUUACAAUACAGGAUGGAGGAACCACCCAAAUUUCUCAUGGGGAGGCCAAGGGAAUCAGAGACCACCACCAUUUCCAGGUUUCUAACAGCAACCUUACCAGCAAAAUAAAAAUUUGAACCUUGAGGAAAUGCUAACAAAAUUCAUCUUGGUGUCAGAAACUCGUUUCCAGAAUACCGAGACAGCACUUAAAAAUCAACAAGCGUCGAUCCAAGGGCUCGAAACUCAGAUAGGCCAGCUCGCUAAAUUGAUAUCUGAAUGAACACAAGGUAGCCUACUGAGUAACACUGAAUCUAACCCAAGGGAGCAACUCAAUGCGAUUGCCAUUCAAGAUGAGGAAGGGUUAGUUACAUCUAAACCAGAACCGAGGCAAGAAACUGUGGUAAGUAAAGGUAAAGGUAAGGUAAACCACAUCGAGCAGAAACCGGUAAGUAAAGAGUACAAACCACGAGUGUCAUACCCAAAUGCGACAAAGAAAGACCAUACAGAUGAACAAUUUUGUAAACUCCUUAAACUAUUAAAGAAAUUACACAUUAACUUACCGUUUAUUGAAGCCCUUUCGUAGAUGCCGAACGCAGUCAAGUUUUUAAAGGAGCUUUUAGGAAACAAGUGAAAGUUGGAUGAAGCGUCGCAUGUGGAGUUGAACGUAGCUUGCUCAGCUAUUCUACAAAAUAAGCUACCCAACAAAUUAAAAGAUCCAGAGAGUUUUACAAUUCCUUGCUUAAUUGGUAGCUUAGAUGUUAAUAAUACUUUGGCUGAUUUAGGGGCUAGCAUCAAUGUCAUGCCUUACAAAAUGUUUAAGUAACUAGGUCUUGAGAAACCCAAACAAACUAAGAUGAGUAUUCAAUUAACCGAUGAAACAAUUAGAUUUCCUAGGGUUAUUAUUGAAGAUGUACUCAUUAAAAUUGACAAAUUUAUAUUCCCAGUUGAUUUCGUUGUUCUAGACAUAGAGGAGGAUAGUAACGUUCCUUUAAUUUUAGGGAGCCCUUUUUAGCAACUGUUAGAACAAUAAUUGAUGUUGGCACAGGUGAACUCACACUUCGUGUGGGAGACGAAACAAUCACCCUUUAAGCUCGUAAUUCAAGUAACACAUCAAAAAUUGAAGGUGGUUGUAUAAAUCAUACUAUUAAAACUGAUCAUUUGGUGAAACCUUCCUGGCAGGAAACACGUUCAAAGAACACACCUGAGCCAUGUUCGAGUAACGACAAAAGACCUAUCUAUGAAGAAUGAAGGCUACAACUUGAGGAACUAGAUGAAUAGCUGACACAUAAACCGAGGACACACGAUAAACCAAAACCAUGCCAUGACGAGCUCAAUAUUUCACCAAAUCAACUUAAGGUUGGAGACAAAGUACUACUAGAUGCGGUAGACCCUCGUAUUGCUACGUCUGAACCUAACGGAGCAAUCCCUCUUACAGUACUCAACAUUUUCCCAUAUGGUACAGUCGAGGUUAUUCAUCCCAAACUCGGCACUUUUAAGGUAAACAGUACUCGUCUUAAACCUUAUUUUGAUAAAAUUGAUAGCAGGGAUGAGGAGUGUGAACUCCUCACAUCACAAUGACCAUGCAACAGAAAGGUAAGUCGAGCUUAGACUAUAAAUAAGCGUUUUUCGGGAGGCAACCCGAGCAUUAAUGAUGUUAACUUUUUUAAAAUUUUAGUUUUUUACAUCUAAUCACUAACUGAGUCAGUGAAACACAGGUUUUCUAAUCUACACGGCCAAGCACACGGACAUGCCUUAGGCCGUGCUCACACCAUGGGAGGAGACACAGCCGUGCGAUACUGCCGUGUGAAAACAGGGUAAAAUUUUUCCUUAACACGGGAUGUGAUAAGUUGCCACGGCCGUGCGAUGUAGCCGUGGGCGAGUCUUUCAAACCAACACAGGCGUGUGACACACCCGUGUCUAUAAACCAUGGUUGAAACUGAGAAUUUAGCACGAGCAUGUCCUAUCAACCGUGCUCAAGACUGAAAAAAGAACACGGGCGUGGACAUCUAUACACGGGCAUUGGAGAAGAGAAUGAAACAGAACAUGGUCGUGUGACACAGACGUGUGCACCAACACGCCCAAAGAGCACGGGCGUGUGAAGAAUUUCAGACACGCCCAAAUUUGAAAAUUACGAUAAACACGAGCUGAAAUAAGGGCACAUGGGGGUGCCCCACGACCGUGUGCCCCAAAAUCUAUAUAAACCCCUUACUAUUCAUCACCCCCUUCCCCAAAAUCUCUAACCCUAGCCGCUGCAACUUCACAUGCCCUACCUGCCACGCCCGUGCACCGUCCACAGCACCACCUUUGACAACCCAAAGCUCCUCCCUCUUACGUUUGUACAUUUUUUUCCUUCUAUUCUCUUCAUUCUUUUACUUAUUUGAUGAUAUUUUAUUUUAUUUUGAGUAAAUAAUCAUAGUUAUAAUGAUAGAAUACUUAUGCUCUUUGUUAAGAAAUUUACCAUUUUAAUUGAUAUAUUUUGCUGCAUUUAUCCACUUUUCUUGUUUCCAUAGAUUUCAUGCUUACCCACACCAUAUUUCAUACUUAUUAAACCCACAUGCAUUCAUUCAAUAGAUAUUUCCAUUAGCAUUACUCUCGUAGUCCUAUUCAUAGUAAUGACUUAAUAUAUCUGAUUGGGUUAUUUUUAGUAUAGUUGUUCUUUAGUACAUGACUUCUAUGAAGUAUCUCUAUUAGUUUUACCAUGCAUAUUUUCUAUGCUAUUGCUGGGGAGUAAUUUUAUUUUUUAUUUUUUCUUGCCAUUGUAGGUAUACUAUCUCAACCUUACGUGGUAAGGAGACCGCCAUCCCCUCUUCGAAGAAAAGGAAAGGAGCAACGUCAUCCUCAGGUCCUACCGCUGAGAUCCGUUACCCUUUCCUCCAGUUUCCCUUUGGACCCCAGGAGGAACUAUUUCAGAUAUUACGGGUCCGACCCUUAGGUGUAGGCCACUGCAUUGACUGGGCUGCACUUAAAAAAAUUCAAAUGGCUGACGUGGUCCAAGCCCUCCUGACGACUACCCGUGGAGGCUUUUCUUUGAGAUCAUCGAGCCGAUGUACCACGAGCUCACAAUGGAACUCUACUCGACCUUCCAUCUUCAAGUCGCCAUGAUAAACUGCGACGAUCCUAGAACGGUCCAAUUCCACCUCAGUGGUCUAGUGCGCCAGUUGAGCGUACCGAAGUUCAGAAUUGCACUAGGGCUGUAUAUGGAAGAGUUCAUGGAUGACAACGAACUUGACACCCUCUAUUGCCACAUCCACUACUCUCUCUCCAAAUGCUGGAAGGACUUUGUCCCUGCCUCGGCCACCUAUGAUCCUAACUACUCUAAGGCAUCAGCCCUCACCCCAUCCCUGUGAUACCUACACGCCAUCUUAGCCCACACUCUGACAGGGCGGCGAGAGAGCACCGGCAUCAUCAACACUCACGACGCCUACUUUUUAUAGAGCAUGGCAAACGGGCACGUCUUCGACCUUGCCUAUUUCAUUGCUCUCGCCAUCCGCCAUCAGACGGAGCGGCAUAGGAGAGGAGUUAUCACCAUUAGCCACUAUGUGACUCGACUGGCACGGCACUUCGGGCUCCUCAACACAGCAGCAUAAUCAUCCUCACUCACUCUCAUUGGUCAUAUGUCCCCUCAAGGCAUCUCGAGUAUGCUACAUAUGAGGAUGCUCGAGAAACGACGUGGAACUUACCCUCCUCAGUACCGCCUCGUCCAGUCCACUAAAGAGGAGAACCCAUAAGACAUUACUGAUGAUGUCCCUCCACGUCAUGAGGACCCACCGUCUCAACCAUCACCCAUCCAUCGUCCAGUUCAUGCGGUGGCUUCAUACUCUGAUAUCUCUAAGCACCUUACUCGAUUUAAGCAGCAGUGUUUUCAGUGCUUUGAUCACAUUGAUGCUACUCUUCAUCAGAUUUGUCAGCACCUUCACAUCUCAUCGCCACCACCACCUCGCGAACCAUCCGGCGAUGCUGAUGUUUAAAGACUUUUUAUUUUUUAUUUUUAUUUCCACUUUUAUCUUUAUUUAUCUUCUUUAAGUAGUUUUUAUUUUAUUUUCCUUUAAUAUUAUUUCAAUUUUAGGUUUUAUAAUUUUUAUUGAAUAAUUUAUAGUUUUGGCUAUUUUAUUACGAGUAAUUAUGCUUCCUUAUAUUUCCUAAAGAGUUCUUGAUUUUAUCACAGUUAUAAAGAGCUCUAAAGCUCAUCAUCACUUAGGAACUAAAAAAUCACUGGAAAAGGUUCUCCACAACUGUCAAGUCCUGCUCGACCACGACCACAGCUACUACCAGAUAUAAUAUUCUGUUGGCGCAGGACUUAUGGACUAAUGAACCUCUACCACCACCGGAGUAUCCUCCUCCACUCUCAUCAUUGCCUUGGCUGAUUAUUCUCCAUAACUCCAAUUGAAGGAGUUCAUUCAUCAUUCAGGAAGUUUAACUUCUCUUCUUAUCUUAUGAGUAUUUAUCUAUAUUUUUCAGUAUAUCUAUCUUUGUACAUUGAGGGCAAUAUACAUCUUAAGUGUAGAGGGUCUUUUAUAUCAUUAUCAGAAAAAUCCCUGAAUUUUAUCUUGUUCUCAAAUCAUCUUCUCAUAUCAUUAUUAGAAUAAAAUUUGAUUAAUUUAUGAUUGUUAUUGAUAUGUCUUCAAUUAAAACAUAGGCAUUCAUGUAUUGAUUGUUUAAACUUUAAGGAAUUAGAUAAUCAAGCAGGAUAAGUUGAUUUUUGAGAAUUAAAAAUUUUUAGGUUGUUUCCCCAAGUUUAGGUAUUAUCUCGAGUUAAAAUUCACAGGGUUAACAUCAACAAGCCAUAAUUUCUGUAAGAUCUUGAGCCUUUAGAGCAACUAUUAUUUCUUUCAUGCUCACUGUUAUUAUUGAUAAUGAGUGUGUCAAUAUUGAUUUAUUAUUCUAGAACUUGCUUGAUUAUGCAUGUCAAGACCACACCCUUGAGUUAAUAUGUCAAUAUGAUAAAGGCACCUAGGUUUAACCCACUCACUCCAUAAAAGCAUACCUUCAUAAUUUACCCUUAGUGAACCCCUUUGAGCCUAACAAGCCAUUAAUUGAUUUACCCUCAAUGUUAACCCAUAACACAUUAUUGUUGAAAUCCCCUAAUUUGAUCCCUAUUUUUGUCGAGAUUUGAUUUGAAUUAUUGCAUAGCUAUGUUUUAUUCUUCGUUGCAAUAAUUAGCAAAGUCCUAUGUUAUUUCACUUGUUUAUUUCACUUGUUCCUAAAAAAAAAUACAAUACUUACUUACAUAUUAAUAGUAAUUCGUCAUUUUUGAGCUUAAGUGUUAAUUCCAUAUUCUAAGAAGAAGCUCACUCGUAUUCAACUUAUAAUUAGUUGUUUUUCUAGUUAGGUGAUUUUUUUAAUUCAAUCUCGAUUCUAACCUUUCCUUUUAGCUUGUGACCACACCCCCUAACCAAAGCCACGUUACAACCCUCUAAAGACCUUUUGAUUGAUGUAUCAUCUCAAUAUAUAGUGGUGGAGAUUUGAUUUUCUGCAAGCCUAUGGUAAUAACUUUUCAUAUUGACUAAUGAGUGCUUCAUUUAUUAUCCUUAAACACCUCGAGUGAUUUGAGUGAAUCUUUAGUGAGGAUGUUAAACUCCGUGAUAUUUUGAAUCAAAGGUAAUCACUUAGAUGAGGGGAGACACCUAUGUUUUCGUGAUGAAAUGCUCAACUUGGAAUGUUUGAAACUUUGAUAUUCUUCUAGUUGAAUUCUCCAUGUAUGAUUACUUAUGAUUUAUUUUAAGAUAUUAUUGAUAGAGAUUAUAGAUUGAGAAGAAUUUAUUUUGAUUGUGAGUUGAGGAUUUUGCUUGAGGACAAGCAAACGCUUAAGUGUGAGAGUUUUUGAUAAACCGCAAUUUAUACAUAUUUUUAUCCCAUGCUUAGCACAUUUAUAUAUGAUUUCUCCUUAGAUUUGGUGAAUUUGAUGCACCAAAUCCUUUAAUUUCAUGUUUUAUACUUAGGUGACCAUAGCAGAGUAAAAAGAGCGAGAAACAGGUCGACAACGGAGAAAAAUAGACCCACAUGGGAAAUCGACACGGCCUGGACUUCCUCACACGGGUAAGCCACACGGCCAUGUCCAUUUGGCAGGAUCGGCGUACAAUUUACACAGGUAGACUACAUGCCCACGAUUAUUUAGCAACCUUCACCACGGUUUGGAGCAAUCGCACACGGGCGUGUCACACAGGCGUGUCCCUGUCGAGCCCAAGUAAAGUCCUAUUCGAAAAAGGCCACUUUUGAUGGCUCUUAGGCAUUCUAAAGCCUAUUUAAACACCUGAGGAGGCAGUUAGAACGGGGGGACACAGAGUAGGAAGCAAUGAAUUACUCGAAAAAAGCCGAUUGAUCCAUCUCAGAAGCUGGAUUAUUCAUCAAGACUGAAGAUCUCUCUUCAAUUUCCAUUCAAGAGUUUUGGGUUUUCUUUAUGUUUUGUAUUCAUUAUUCUUCUAAGGGGAAUGAAACUUAAGACGAAUCUUGUUAUUAUUAUCUAAAUUAUAAGAUAAAUAUUUGACUUGUUCUUAAUUAUGUAUUCUUAAUUCUUGUCUUAAUAUUUCAGGAUAUUGAUUCAGGUUAAUGCGCUUAUUCAGAGGAGCAAAAGUCCCUGUCUAAGAGUAAAUUUGUCAUAAUUAAGUGGAGUUGAUUGCACGCCUAGAGAUAGGGUGACAAGAUUUUACCAGAUUAUGGUGAAACCUAAUAAGGGAUCCAUAGAUCGAGUAAAUGCAACACUAGGGCGUUAAUUACAAAGAGAUUUCAAUUAAUCAACCUAGGGUUAGAUGUUAUUAGUCUCGAGAGAGAUAAUAAUAUAACUUAGGGAUUUCUACGAAUCAAGUUAAAUGAACAAAUCGCCUGAUUCAGAGUCAAAUAACAAGUGAAUCUAGGUGGAUUUUUCCUUGGGUAUUGUCUUUAUUAAUCGAAUUUUCUAAAAAGUAUUUUCCCAAUUUUUAGGCUAGAUAAUAAAAAGAAAGUAAUUACUAGUACUCUUGGUUCCUUUGGGUUCGACAAUUCGGUCUUGUUAAAGCUAUACUACUGUUCGAUAGGUACACUUGCCUUCAUCGUGAUAAUAGUUGGUUUUAAGAACGAUCAUUUAUAAAUUAUUUAAAACUUAUCGCAAAUAUCAUAAAUCAGUAGUCGUUUUACAUGGAUUUAUCUCAUUAAAUGAAUGUCUCAGAUGGUUGACUAUUUUUUUCAGUUUCAAAAAAUGGUCAAAACUCAGUUUGGGAAAGAUAUUAAAAAUUUUCAAAGUGAUUGGGGUGGUGAGUUUCGUGCCUUCGCAUCAACUCUUGCUAUUCAUGGGAUACUUCAUCACCUCUCCCGUCCACAUACAUCCGAGCAGAACGGUAUAGCCAAACCAAAACAUCAAGACAUUGUUGAGAUAGGUCUUACUCUCUUGACCCAAGCUAAUAUGCCCAUGGAUUUCUGGGGUUACGUGUUUUGCAGUGUCGUUUAUCUCAUUAAUCGUCCACCUACCUUGGUUUUGAAAGGUCAAUCUCCGUAUUAAGUUCUUCAUGGUAGUGACCCUACAUAUGAUCAUUUACGGGUGUUUGGGUGUUAUUUCUUUCCAUACUUGCGUCUGUUUCUGCAACAGAACUUGGAUUUUUGUUCUCAGCCUUGCACAUUUUUAGGGUAUAGUUCUCAACAUAAAGGCUAUCACUGCCUCACACCAGAUGGUAAGGCCAUUGUCUCUUAUCAUGUUGUGUUUGAUGAACGUCGAUUUCUCUUUUUUUUUAUGUUGCAAACACCGUCCAGUCAGGUCCAUGUAUCUCUACAUAUGUUCCUAUUGCUCAGUCUUCAUCUGCCGCGCCACGGCAUCCUCGCUUGUUCAGCCCAUUAAGUCCUCUUGACUCUUACUCCUAAUUGUAGUUCCAAGACGUCUAUUUCAGUUGACUCUCCGACUGAAUUGGGUUCUACUCAUGAGGUGCACCGGCUCUUCACCUCAUCUCCUGAAUCACGUCAAUGCGACUCUACUACAAUUCCCUCGGUUAUUCCAUCUAUUUUUCUAGAGAAUACUCAUAACAUGAUUACUCGGUCUAAGGCUAGUAUUUCUAAACCCAAAGCUUUCUCUGUUGAAACUGUCGACUAUGAGCCACACACGAUUGAUGAGGCACUCGCUAGUAAGGAAUGGCAAUUAGUUGUCCAAGCUGAGUUUGUUGCUCUAAUGGCUAACUCUACCUGGGAGCUUGUUCCCUUACUUCAUUGUCGAAAAGUGAUUGGGUGUAAGUGGCUUUUUAAAAUAAAAAAAAUCCUGAUGGGGCUAUCACUUGGCACAAGGCUCAGCUGGUAGCAAUGGGUUGUUCUUAGGUACCUGGGUGUGAUUUCAAAGAAACCUUUAGUCUAAUGGUUACACCUACUACUAUUAGAAAAAUAUUGUCUAUUUCUGUUUCCAAUGGGUGAAAACUUCGUCAAAUCGAUGUGAAUAAUACCUUUUAAGAUGGUGAUCUCACUGACGAAGUGUUUAUGCAACAACCUUCAGGCUAUGUUCAGAUUGGUCCAUAUCGUGAGCUAUUGGUGUGUCGUCUGAAAAAGGAGUUGUAUGGAUUACGACAAGCUCCACGUGCCUGGUUUGAUAAAUUGAAACAUUUUUUCUACCAGAUUUGUGUUAUCCAAAUCUGAUGCAUCCCUGUUUGUUCGAGUUACGUACGUAUCCACUAUUUAUGUUCUAAUCUAUGUGGAUGAUAUUACCGUUACUGAAAGUACGACUGACGGUAUAAAUGACUUUAUUCAACAGUUACAUAAUAAGUUUUCCCUUAAAGAUAUGGGAGAUCUUCACUACUUCUUAGGUAUUCAAGUCACUCGGUCAUCCACUAGAAGUCUUCAUUUGUGCCAACGCAAAUACAUCUAGGAUCUGCUUGACAGGAGUUCCUGGGCUAACGUGAAAAGUGUUCACACACUGAUGGUUAGUUCUUUUACAUUGUCUAAAGAUGAGAAAAAUCACCUCGUUGAUCCCACUAAAUAUAGGAGCCUUGCCGGAGCAUUACAAUAUGUGGUCUUAACUCGGCCUAAUAUUGCUUAUGCGGUAAAUCGUGUUUGUCAAUUCAUGCAUAUGCCUACUACGGUACAUUUGGUGGCUUUGAAAAUAAUCUUGCGCUAUUUACGUGGCACUAUUGAUCAUGGGUUAAUUUUUCGUCCGUUCGACAGAUUGUCUUUAGUUGGCUAUGCUGAUUCCAACUGGGGACUGGAUUUUGAUGAUCGUCAGUCAACCAUAGACUAUUGUGUGUAUUUUGGACAUACAUCCAUCUUUUUGUGUUCUAUGAACCAACAAGUUAUUUUUCACUCCACGGCUGAUGCGAAGUAUCGUAGUCUAGCAGUAGCUACCAGUGAUGUUACUUGGUUAGCCUCUCUGUUAACGAAUUUAAAAAUUUGUUCUGCAAAUCCACUUACUAUUUGGUGUGACAAAUCUAGUGCAAUAGUGGUUGCUGCUAAUCCGGUUUUACACUCCAAAUUUAAACAUGGCGAGCUUGAUCUAUUUUUUGUUCGCGAAAAUGUCACUAAUGGUUCUCUCAUUGUUGGCGAAGUUCCGGCAUGUGAUCAGGUUGCUAGUAUUCUCACAAAACCAUUGUCCAUCUCUACUUUUGCUAGGUUUCAUAGUCUGCCUCAAGUCUUACCUCUUGAGAAGCUGGAUGAAGCCGGGUGAAUAUUAGAGUAUAGACUCUAUUAGUCUGUUACCAUUUUGUUAUACAGGCUAGAAUAUUGUUAGUAACCAGUUAGCAGCAAUUAGUCAUAGCAGUUAGUCAUACAAGUAUAAAUUCUAUUUAUGUAUAGUUCAAAGGUAAGCUAAUAAUACCAGAAGAGAUUUAACGUGUUCAUUCUACUUUCUUUGUUAUUCUUCAUAAUACAGUUGUUAACAGGCUUGAUAUCAUCUCUUAGAGAAAACUAGGAGAGAUAAGAGUAAGAGUAUGAGCAAACUAUGGAUAAGGCUCUACCAUAAUACCUUAGAUGCAGUUAAAGUAAGAGUAAGAGCCAACUUGUUUGGCUUGAUAGCAUCCCCUUAUAGAAAAAGCUCUACCGCAUGGCAUUAGAGCAAUAAAAGUAACACUUAAUUUCUUGGUUGAUAGCAUCUCGUAGGGGAAAAAGGUUUACCAUGUGACAUGAAAGUAAUUAAAGUAAGAUUAAGAGCUAACUUGUUUGUCUUAAUCGCAUUGUUUAAGAGAGAUCCAAAUAAAUUUACUCAAAAUAUGUUAAUCAAAUAAUGCAAAUUACAAUGUUUUGUCAAUUUUUCCUUUAAUUGUAACUGGGUUAAAGUUGGUAGUUGUAACUGGUACUAAUAGAAUAGAUUUGGUAGAAAUGGUUGAAAGCAACAUAAGCAAAGAUGACUUUGAUGUCAUUGUAUUGACCACGUGGGAACUAUAGAAUGUAGAGAAUAGUAUGGUGAUUGGCAUCAGAAUGUUGCUAACUUUGAGGACAGUAGAUAAGGAUGGAUCCAAAGGGGCUGUGGGCGGCCCCCUUGAAAUUUUCAAAUUUUUGAAUUUAUAUAUAAAUUAUCAUGUAUUUUAGAUUUGGUGUCCACAUUGUAUAACAUUCACCCCCUUUGCCAAAUUGUAUUUCAUAUCAUUCGCCCCCUUAAACCAUAAGGUUAUACUUUAUAUUAACAAAGUAUUUUCCAUUUUUUUUAAUUAUAUAAAUUUAAUAAUAACAAUAAUAAUAAAAUAUUAAUGUAUGAUAGGCAUUGAAAGACUAAACUUAUAGGUCCAAUUUGGACUUUAAAGCCAAAUUCUAUAAUUAAUUAAUUGAUUUGGCUCAUACCUAUACAUAUUAGGUUAGCGACUUUCUUGUAUUUUGAUUUGUAUGUCUUCUUAAGGAAUUAUCUUCCUUUGGUAAAGUGUUGACACUACCAAGAGAAAAAGAAAGGAUUUUGAUGACGAGACUAAGAGUAUAGAGCAAAAAUAUACAAAUUAUCUUCCUCUUGGCUCCUUAUGCAAAAAACCUCUCGGUAAAUUUUUUGCAUAAAUUAUGUUCUUUAUUUAUUUGACUUAUUUUUUUUAUUUUUUCCUAAUAUAUUUUGUUUAAUAUAUUAUUAAAAUCAUCAGGUUUUUCGAUUAAAUAAUGGUCAAUAAAAAGAUCGAAUCUAUUUUUUUAAAAAAAAGGUGUCAGAAAGCAAUAGUGAUCAACCAGUUCCUUAACCUUCUGUUAUUCGUGAAGAAAAACCAAAUAUUGGAUAUUCCCAAGCUCCUGAAUGAAAUAUUAGGUCUUAUCAAGCCCAAACUUUUGAAUGCGAUAUGGAGUCUUCCCCAGUUCUUAAACUAGAUUGUUACACUCCUUACCUGAUCCGAUCACCAAAUCCAUGUAGAGAGUACCACAACUUAAACCAUAUGAAUUGAAUAAUAAAUAUUUGAAAUUUAUUAAAGUAUCGAGUUCUUGGUGUAACCCUCAGUAUAAUAAUAUGAAACAAUCAAAUCAAUGAUACGCCAGGAACAAACAUUUUUAGGAAAAACACAUGGCGGAAACCUUACAAAAGUUUAUAAGUUUAUAUGAAAUGUAAGAUGAGUUAAUCCCAUACAAUAGUUUCAAGUGCAUUUUUGGCAGUUAAAACAACACUCUAAAACUAUUUGGUGUAGAUGCCAAUGAGACAAUCAUGUGGAAUAAGAUAUAGUAGCAUAAACACAUACAUCACUUACCAUGUCAUUAUAACAUAUACUAACCACAUAAACAAAUUUCUCGAGCUGCGAACGAACAAGUUUACCCAAACAUCUGGGGUUGGUAGAUAGCUUAUCAGAAAAGCCCUCCAAAUCCUAGAGUUCACCAAAACCUGGAGUUCGCCAAAUAGAGAUUCCCAUAGAAUACGCCAAACACACAACCAAAAAACAAAUACUCUACUAACUUACUUAUUUUUUAUUCUUAGCAUAAACAACUAUGCGCCAAAAAGUAACUUGAUACAUUAUCCAUCAGGCGGGUUGUUACAAUUCUCCCUCACUUAGAAAAUUUUGUCCUCAAAAUUCUUAACGGUGAAUAACUGAGGAUAUUGUUCUUUUAUUGAACUCUCUCUUUCCCAAGUGGAUUCUUUUUUAUUGUGAUUUCUCCAUAAUACAUUAACAAAAGGAAUUCUUUUUCUUCUCAACUUUUUUACCUCCCUUGCUAAUGCGAACAGGUUCUUCUUCAUAGGAUAUGUUUGGCUCCUUUUCUAAUGCUUUGACUUGUACCACAUGAUCUGGUUUGGAUUGAUAUUUUCUUAACACGAACACAUUAAUCACAUUGUGUAUCUUUGAUAACUCUAGUGGCAACACCAAUCUGUAUGCCACUGGACCAACCAGUUCCAAAAUCUCAUAUGGUCCUACGAAAUGCAGACUUAAUUUCCCUUUUUAUUCUAACCUUAUGAUAUUCUUCCAAAGAGAAAACUUCAUAAAUACAUUGUCACCCACUUCGAAAGAGAUUUCUUUCCUUUUUAGAUCAACAUAAGCUUUCUGACGAUCUUAAGUUACUUUCAGAUGAUUUCAAAUAAUAGAGACUUUCUCUUCUGUUUCUUGUACUAAAUCAAAACCAACUAUUUUCCUUUCACUGAGUUCCAUCCAACAGGUGGGAGAUCUACGCUUUCUUCCAUACAAAGCUUCAAAUGGUGAUAUUUCUAGAUUGGCGUGAUGACUAUAAUUAUACACAAACUUUGGCAAAGAAAGAUAUCUUUCUCAAUUCAUUCUGAAAUCUAUAAUACAACUUCUGAGCAUGUCUUCCAAAACUUGAAUUACUCUUUCAAAUUGUUCACCUGAUUAGGGAUGAAAGGCAGUACUGAAUCAUAUCUUGGUUCCUAACGAUUCUUGUUGUUGUCUUCAAAAUCUUGAUGUAAACAUUAGGUCUCGAUCUAAAACUACGGAUGUUGGAAUCCCAUGAAGACAUACAACUUCAGAAACGCAGAGCUUAGCCAACUUUUCCAAUGAGUAAUUUGUGCGGGCAAACAAGAAAUAGACUGACUUAGUAAGUCGAUCUACAAUUGCGCAAACUGAAUUCUUCUUUGAAAGGCUGAAAGGGAGAGCCAAAACAAAAUCCAUGGUGAUGUUAUCCCACUUCCACUUAGGUAUCUCUAAAGGGUACAACUUGCCUAAGGGAACCUGAUGUUCUGUUUUAAUCCGCUGACAUGUCAAAGAAAUGGAGAUGUACUCUGUUAUUUCUUUCUUCAUUCCAGGUCACCAAUACAAACUUCUCAAAUUACGAUACAUUUUAUGUAAUGCUCUCAACCCGACUCGAUAUGUCGAGUUUGGAUCUCGGGUAUUACUAUACACAGUACUUAGUAAAAUAUCAAAAUAGCUGACAAAUACUCUUUACUAAAAACAUUUUCUUAUUAUUUUAACCGAAAGAGUAAAUAUUUAAUAACAAGGGUAAAUAUUAGAAAUAAAAUAAAUUAUUACAUCAGACUUGGUACAACUGAUUAUAGUAUAAAAUUUUGUUAAAGACAGACUCUUGGGGAAUAACCCUAAUCUAUGCCACUUUUCCACUAUAUACAUAAUAACCCACUUCAGCACUAUCUUGGCAUACUCCUAGCAUCGUCACUCCUAACGCAUUCUCUACCCAUACACCUAAAAACAACAACAUUAUAAGCUCAAGAGAACUUAGUGAAUUUUAUCCCAAAAAUACCUUGGCGAGUACUUUAAUUAUUUGACUAACAUCUGUGCGCCAUCUAUCUUUUUAAACCACCUUCUUCUGAAUCAGACGGAUACUAUUACAGAUUCGACUUUCACUUAUACGCCAGCUAUCAUACUCUUAACACACUCACUUAUUCUAGAACAGUUUUUCACAUAUAUUAAUCAUUGACAGAUACAUACAUUUUUGGUGAAUACUUACGCAGAUCUAAAUACCAUCAAACUACUAAUCAAAUCAUACAUUGAUUCGAUACCAUACAAACUCCCAUUGAUAAUGUACUACACAAUUUAUUCAAAUGAAUUUUCCACUACUUUGUUACAGGACCCCAGAAAAUCAUCAUAACAAUAACUCAAUUUCCAUAUGAUUUCAAAAAAGGAUAUAAUACAACCCAAAUAUGGCGAAUUCCAGACAACUCAGAUUCAACAACUGUAUAACAUAGACAAAAUCACAUUGAUAAUUUCUUAUGUCCCAAAUAACUAUGAAUACGUCCAUAUUCAAUACUAACAGAUAAUCAUGACGGAUACCCUUCUUAUACAUAUAUGCAUUUCUUUUCUAAAAAUCUCUUAAGACUUACUCAGUUAUAUCACAGAUCUUAUUCAACCUUUAACUUCAGACGUAUCAUAAACCUAUCAGAUCAAUAUCUGUCACAAAGAAAUUGGCAUUUACCCAGAUUUUACAAUAAAGGCAGAUAAUCAUAUUAUAGUAGACAAACUUAACUGAAAGUGCUACAAAGGCCAAACAAAAUAUGCCAUAAAGGCUUCAUACAAAAUCAUGUGUUUACUAUCUCGACGGAUGAUACAUGAUAUUCGUGACAGGUUUUAAAAAUUUAUAAUUAAUCGUUCUUUAAAUUAACUAUUAUCACGAUGAAGGCAAGUGUACCUCUCGAACAGUAAUAUAGCUUUAGCAAGACCGGAUGGUCGAACCCAAAGGAACCAAGAGUACUAGUAAUUGCUUUCUUUUUAUUAUCUAGCCUAAAAAUUAAGGGAUUUAUUUAUCUAAUUAAUUAACUAAACUAAGGGUGCACAGAAAGAAAAUUGGGGAAAAGCUUUUGGGAAAACUCGAUUGAUUAAGACAAUACCCAAGAAAAAAUCCACCUAGACUUCACUUAUUAUUUGACUCUAAAUCAGACGAUUUAUUCAUUUGACUUGAUCCGUAGAAAUCCCUAAGUUAUAUUAUUAUCUCUCUUGAGACUAAUAACGUCUAACCCUAGGCUGAUAAUUGAAAUCUCUUUCUAAUUAACACUCUAGUGUUGCAUUAACUCGAUCUAUGGACUCCCUUAUUAGGUUUCACCCUAAUCCAGUAAAAUCUUGUCACCCUAUCUCUAGGCGUGCAAUCAACUCCGCUUAAUUAUGAAAAAUUUACUCUUAGAUAAGGACUUUUGCUCCUCUAAAUAAGCACAUUAACUUGAAUCAAUAUCUUGGAAUACUAAAACAAGAAUUAAGAACACAUAAUUAAGAACAAGUCAAAUAUUUAUCAUACAAUUCAGAAAAUAAUAACAAGAUCCGUCUUAGGUUUCAUUCCCCUUAGGUAUUUUGAGGUUUUAGUUCAUAAUUAUGAAAGAAAACAUCUCAAAAGAAUAAUGAUAACAAAACAUAAAGAAAACCCAAAACUCCUGAAGGAAAUUGAAGGGAGAUCCUCAGUCUUGACGAUGAAUCCGGCUUUUGAAAUGGAUCAAUCGGCUUUCCUUGAGUAAUUCAUUGCCUCCUACUCCCUAUGUAUCUUCUAAGUGCCUCCUCAGGUGUUUAAAUAGGCUUUAUAAUGUCUAAAAGCCCUCAAGAGUGGCCUUUUCUGAAUAGGACUGAACUUGGGCUCGAUAGGGACACGCCCGUGUGACACGCUCGUGUGCAAUUGCUUCAGACCGUAGUCAAGGCUACUAAAUAGGCAUGGGCGUGUGGUCUACCCGUGUGAGGAAGUCCAGGCCGUGUUGAUUUCUGAUGUUGGUCCAUUUUCUUCAUUUUCAGCCCGUUUCUCGCUCUUUUUACUCUCUUAUGCUCACCAAAGUAUAAAACAUGAAAUUAAAGGAUUAGGAGCAUCGAAUUCACCAAAUCUAAGGAGAAUUCAUCCAAAAAUAUGCUAAGCAUGAGGUAAAAAUAUGUAUAAAUUAUGGUUUAUUAAAUACCCCCACACUUAAGCGUUUGCUUGUCCUCUAGCAAAAUCCUCAACUCAAAAUCAAAAUAAAUUCUUCUUAACUUGUAACCCCUAUCAAUAAUAUCUCAAAAUAAACCAUAAGUAAUCAUGUAUUGAGAAUUCAACUAGAAAAGCAUUAAAGUCUCAAACAUUCCAAGUCGAGCAUUUUAUCACGAAAACAUAGGUGUUUCCCCUCAUCUAAGUGAUUACCUUUGAUUCAAAAUAUCACAAAGUUUUAACAUCCUCACUAAAGAUUCACUCAAAUCACUCGAGGUGUUUAAGGAUAAUAAAUGAAGCACUCAUUAGUCAAUAUGAAAAGUUAUUACCAAAGGCUUGUAUGAAAGUCAAAUCUCCACCACUAUAAAUUGAGAUGAUACAUCAAUCAAAAGGUCUUUAGAGGGUUGUAAAGUGGCUUUUGUUAGGGGGUGUAGUCACAAGCUGAAAGAAAGGUUAGAAUCAAGAUUGAAUUGAAAAAUUACCUAACUAGAAAAAUAACUAGUCAUUACUUGAAUACAUGUAAACUUCUUCUCAAAAUAUGAAAUUGAACACUUAAGCUCGAAAACAACGAAUUACUACUAAUAUAUGUAUGUAUUAUAAUUUUUUUUAAGAACAAGUCAAAUAAUAUAGGUUAAUUAUCAAAAAUAAAACAUAGCUAAGUAAUUUAUUCAAAUUAAAUCUCGACAAAAAUUGGGAUCAACUUGAUUGAGGGGAUUUCAACAGUAAUAGGUUAUAGGUUAAUAUUGAGGGUAAAUCAAUGGAUAGUUUGUUAGGCUCAAAGGGGUUCACUAAGGACAAAUUAUGAAGGUAGGCUUUUGUGGAGUGAGUGGGUUAAACCUAAGUGCCUUUAUCAUCUCGACAUAUUAAAUCAAAUGGUGUGGUCUUGACAUGCAUAAUCAAGCAAGUUCUAGAAUAACAAAUCAAUACUGACGCACUCAUAAUAAAAGUGAGCAUGAAAGAAAUAAAAUAUGAUCUAAAAGCUUAAAAUCUCACAAAAAAUUAUGGCUUUUUGAUGUUGAACCUGUGAAUUUCAACUCAAGAUAAUACCUAAACUUGGGGAAACAACCUAAAAAUUUUAAAUACUCAAAAAUCAACUUAUCAUGUCUGAUUUUCUAAUUCCUUCAAAGUUUAAACGGUCAAUGCAUAAAUACCUAUGUUUUAAUUCAAGACAUAUCAAUAAAAAUCAUAAAUUAAUCAAAAUUCAUUCUAAUAAUGAUAUGAGAAGAUUAUUUGAGAACAAGACAAAAUUUAAGGAUUUUUUUGAUAAUGAUAUAAAGGCCCCCCACACUUAAGAUGUACAUUGCCCUCAAUGUACAAAGUUAGAUUUACAACGAUAUAGAUAUAAGAUCAUAAGAUAGGGAGAGAAGUGAAACUUCCUGAAUAAUGAAUGAACUCCUUGAAUUGGAGUUAUGGAGAAUAAUCGGCAAAGGCAAUGAUAAGAUUGGAGGAGGAUACUUCGGUGGUGGUAGAGGUUGGGUUCCACAACCUCAGUGUCCAGCGAAGAAGUUAUCGUGGUGGUCGAGCAAGACAUUACAGUUAUGGAGAACCUUUUCCAGUGGAGUUUCAAGUUUCUAAGUGAUGGUGAGCUUUGGGGCUCUUAGUAACUGUGAUAAAAUCAAGAACUCUUUAAGAAAUGUAAGGAAGCAUAAUUACACGUAAUGAAAUAGCUGAAACUAUAAAUUAUUCAAUAAAAAUUAUAAAACCUAAAAAUGAAAUAAUAUUAAAGGAAAAUAAAAUAAAAAGUACUUAAAAAUGUAAAUAAAAAUAAAAUAUAAAAAGUUUUUAAACAUCGUCAUCGCUGGAUGGUUCGCAAGGUGGUGGUGGUGAUGAGAUGUGAAGGUGCUGACAAAUCUGAUGUAGAGUAGCAUCAAUGUUAUCAAAGCGCUGAAAACACUAUUGCUCAAAUCAAUAAGGCACUCAGAGAUGUCAGAGUAUGAAAUCGCCGCAUGAACUGGACGAUAGAUGGGUUGUGGCUGAAAUGGUGGGUCCUCAUGACGUGGAGGGACAUCAUUAGUAAUUCCUCCGGGUCCUCCUCCUCGGCUGACUGGAUGAGGCGGUACUGAGCAGAAUCGAUUCCAUGUCAUUUCUCGAUCAUCCUCAUAUGUAGCAUGCUUGAAAUACCCUGUGGGGACAUCUGGCCGAUGAGAGUGAGCGAGAAUGAUUGUGCCACUGUGUUAAAGAGUCCAAAGUGCCGAAUCAAUCGAGUCACAUAGGGGCCAAUAGAGAUGACUCCCUUCCUAUGCCGUUCCGUCUGAUGGCGAAUGGCGAAGGCAAUGAAAUAGGCGAGGUCGAAGAUGUGCCCAUUCGCCAUGCUCCAUAAAAAGUAGGCAUCGUGAGUGUUGACAAUGCCGGUGCUCUCUUGUCUUCCUGUCAGAGUGUGGGCCAAGAGGGCGUGUAGGUACCUCAAGGAUGGAGGGAGAGUUGAUGUUUUGGAACGGUUAGGGUCGUAGGUGGCCGAGGGAGGGACGAGGGCCUCCAGCACUUCGAGUGAGAGUAAUGGAUGUGGCGAUGAAGGAUGUCGAGUUCGUUGUAGUCCAUGAACUCCUCCGUAUACAGCCCUAGUACAAUUUUGAACUCCGGUACGCUCAAUUGGCACACUAAACCACCAAGACGAAACUGGACCGUUGUAGGAUCGUCGAACUCUGUCAUAACGGUUUGGAAGUGAAAGGUCGAAUAGAGUUCCAGUGUGAGCUUAAGGUAUAUCGGCUUGAUGAUCCCAAAGAAGAGCUCCCAUGGAUCAGUCGACAGAAGGGCUCUGACCGCGUCAACCAGUUGGACUUGUUCAAGUGCGGCCCAUUCAAUGCAGCGGCCCACACCUAAGGGUCAGGCCCGAAGUAUCUAAAAGAGUUCUUCCUAAGGUCCUAAGGGAAACUAAAUAAAGGGGUGCCUGAUCUCCACGGUAGGACCCAAGGAUGACACUGCUCAUUUCCUUUUCUUUGAAGCGGGGACAGCGAUUUUCUUACCAUGGUUUGACAUGAUAUCUGCAAUGGCAAGACGAAAAAAAUAAUAAAUAAAAAAGUAAACUUACUCUCCAACAAUAACAUGAAAAAACAUAUGCAAUGCAUGUUAAAACUAAUAGAGAUACUUUAUAGGAGUCAUGUACUAAAGAACAACUACGCUGAAAAAUAACCCAAUCAGAUAUAUUAAGUCAUUACUACGAAUAGGAAUAUGAUAAUAAUGCCUAGUGAAUGAAUGCAUAUGGAAAUGAUGAUAUGGAAAAUAGAAUGAAGUCCAUGGCAACACAAGAAUGGUGGUAUCAUAAUGCAUCAACUAAGAUAGCAAGAAACAAAGAGCAUAAGCAAGGCUAUUAUUAGAACUAUGAAGAUUAACAGUCAAAAUAAAACAAGAAAAAUCGAAUUCAUAAACGAAAUGAAGAGAAAAGAAUGGACAAACGCAAAAGCUUGGUAGAGGGAGGAGCUUGGGCCGUCGUUAGUGGUGUUGUGGUUGGCGCACGGGCGUGGCAGGAAGGCGUGGGCAAGAGUUACGGCGGCUACAGUUAGGGAUUUUGGGGAAGGGGAUGAUGAAUAUAAGGGGUUUAUUCAACUCGUGUUUAUCGCGAUUUUUAAAUUUGGGCACGUCUGAAAUUCGUCCCACGCCGAUGUCCUUUGGGCGUGUUGGUGCACAUGGCCGUGUCGUACGGUCGUGUCCUACUUCGUUCACUUCUCCCACGCUCGUGUGUAUAAGCACACGCCCGUGUUGUUUGAUCAGUCUUGAGCACGGUUGGUGGGCACGGGCGUGUCGCACACUUGUGCUAAAUUCUCAGUUUCAACCACGAUUUCAAGACACGGGCGUGUCACACGCCCGUGUUGAUUUGAAAGACUCACCCACGGCCACGUUACACAGCCGUGGCAACUUAUCACAUCUCGUGUUAAGCAAAAAUUUUUCCCUGUUUCCACACGGUCGUGUCGCAAGGCCGUGUCUCCUCCCGUAGUGUGAGCACGGCCUAAGGCACACCUGUGUGCCUCACCGUGUGAAUUAGAAAACCAGUAUUUCAAUGACUCAGUUAGUGAUUAGAUGUUAAAAACUAAAAUUUUAAAGAAGGUAACACUAUUAGUGCUCGGGUUACCUCGCGAAAAGCAUUUAUUUAUAGUCUAAGCUCGACUUACCUCUCUGUUGCAUAGUCAUGGUAGUGCAAGGAGUUUACACUCCUCAUCCCUGCUAUCAAUUUUAUCAAAAUAAGGUUUUAGACAAGUACUAUUUACCUUAAACGUACCGAAUUUGGGAUGAAUUACCUCGACUGUGCCGUAUGGGAAAAUACUAAGUACCGUAAGAGGGAUUUCUCCAUUAGGUUCAAAGGUGGCAAUCCGAAGGUCUGCUGCAUCUAAUAGUACUUUGUUUCCAACCUUAAGUUGAGUUGGAGAAAUAUUGAGCUCGUCAUGGCAUGGUUUUUUUUAUCGUGUGAUUUCGAUUUCUGUGUCUGCCAUUCAUCUAGUUCCUCAACCUGUAGCCUUGUUCUUCAUAGAUGGGUUCUUUGUCGUUAUUUGAAUGUGGCUCAAGUGUGUUUCUCGAAUGUGUUUCCUGCACAGAGGGUUUCACCACAUGAUCAGUACUGAUAGAAUUUCGAGCUUGAGGAGUAAUUGAUUCAUCACCCAUACGAAGUGUGAGUUUACUUGUGCCAACAUCAAUUAUAGUUUUAGCAGUUGCUAGAAAGGACCGUCUUAAAAUUAAAGGUGCGUCGCUAUCCUCUUCUAUGUCUAGAACAACAAAAUCAAUUGGGAAAAUAAAUUUAUCGAUUUUUACCAAUACAUCUUCAAUGAUACCCCUGGGAAAUCUAAUAGUUUUAUCAGCUAACUGAAUACUCAUCCUAGUUUGUUUAGGUUUCCCAAUACCUAGUUGUUUAAACAUUUUAUAAGGCAUGAAAUUGAUACUAGCCCCUAAAUCAGCCAAAGCGUUAUUAACAUCUAAGCUACCAAUUAAAUAAGGAAUCGUAAAACUCCUUGGAUCUUUCAAUUUGUUGGCCAUGAUGUCUCGUUGAGAGCACCAAAAAUAUCCUAUUCUCUGUAAAAUAGUAAAAAUAACAGUAAAAGGGAAGUAGGGUCGAAUCCUCAGGGACCGGAUUGUACAAAUGCUCGUUUCUUGAAAUCCUGGACAAUUUCUUGGCCAAGAAAACCUGCGUUCCUGAAAAAUAAAAAAAAUAAAAUUAAGAAUCUGGAAAAAAAAAUAGAAUUUAAAGGGAAUUGAAAUUGCGAAAUUAAAUAAAUUGUCGAAAUUAAAAUGAGGAAAAAUAAAUAGAGUUGGGAAAAGAGAAAGUUUCUUAUGUGGCGAGAUUCCAGGCUCCGGUUGUCUCGUUCCGCCUUGGGUUCAAUCCUUGGCCUUUAAGUAACCCUUCCCAACUCAAGUAAGCCAGUUAUAGUGGAAGAGGAUGCCUACGACCACCAGCUCCAAAGAUUAGACUUACGAUUUUUAGGGAACCUGACUCUAACCAGUAAUCUAUGCUAGAUCAACGCUUCUCAAUGGCGAAUCCCAAGUCAUUUUGUCUCUUUGGCUCGCCAACCUUUGACGCAGUAAAUUAACAAACCGACUGUGCAAUCCUUUCAAAACAUACAAAGCGGUCGCCUUUGCAUAUGCUGAAAAGCUUACUUCUUAAGGGCCAUGGACGGAAGCGUCAGCCCGUAGUGCGGAGAAACGAUGAAUACUUGGCGAGAAGGCUAAGUACGGGUUCUAGGCCUCAAAAACCCUUUUUUGGGGAAUAUUGACAACCUUCAGCUAGAUAGGUUUUAAUGGCUCAUGAUAAUGGUGGAAAAGGAAAUAAAUAUAAAAAUAGAAAAUAAAAUUUUAUUCAAAGAAAAUAUGAAGAAACAAAAGCCUAGACUUUUAGGGGGAGAGUGUUUAUAGAAAAAGAUGAACACCCCAAAUAGAGUCACUUCACCCCCUAUUUAUAGUGCUAGGGAGAUAAUCUAAUUUAACUUAAAUUCUAAAAAGAUAAAUACAUUUAAUUAAAGAUAAUUAAAAUAAAAUCCUAAAAUUAAAUAAUCCUAAUAAUUAUCUUAAUAAUAAUUAUUCUAAUAUAAAUAAAAUGGAGUCUUAUAAAAUAAAAUCUCUUCUUUUUGAGUUUUCAGUCCUUGUGUCAUCCAUGCUCGCACUUUUGGAACAAUCUUUUUCCUGUGUCGCAUAUCAGCCCAUUGUGUCUCCAAAUUCGCACUUUUGUCCCUUAAUUUUUCUUUUUGCCUCCAAAUCAGUCCUUUAAAGAUAAAAAGACAUAAAUAGCUAAAAUUAGUAUGAUCAAGCUCAGAAUAAAUAUAUAAUUAGCACAUAAAAACAUGACAUUCUAGAGUGUUAUCAGGCCAGCUUAUUUUGCAGAAUGGCUGAGCAAACUGCAUUCAUCUCCACAUGCGAUGCCUCAUCUAACUUCCGUUUAUUCGCUAAAAGCUCCUUUAAAAAUUUGACUGUGUUCAGCAUCUACGAAAAAGCUUCAAUAAACGGUAAGUUAAUAUGUAAUUUCUUUAAAAUUUUAAGGAAUUUACCGAAUUGUUCGUCUGAGUGGUCUUUCCUUGUCGUAUUUGGGUAUAGUACACGUGGUUUGUACUCUUUACUUACCUGUUUUUGCUCAUUAUGGUCCACCUUACCUCUACCUUUACUUACCACAAUUUCUUGCCUUAGUUCUGGUUGAGGUGCAACUAACCCUUCCUCAUCUUGAAUGGUAAUCGCAUUGAGCUAUUCCCUUGGAUUAGAUUUAGUGUUACUCAACAGGCUACCUUGUGGUCGUUCAGAUACCAAUUUAGCAAGCUGGCUUAUCUGAGUUUUGAGCCCUUGAAUCGACACUUGUUGAUUCUUAAGUGCUUUCUUGGUAUUCUAAAAACAAGUUUCUAACACUGAGAUGAAUUUUGUUAGCAUCUCCUCAAGGUUCAGCUUUUUCUCUUGUUGGUAAGGUGGUUGUUGGAAGCCUGGAGGUGGUGGGGGUCUCUGAUUUCCUUGGCCUCCCCAUGAAAAAUUUGGAUGGUUCCUCCAACCUGCAUUUUAAGUGUUACUAUAAGGAUUAUUUUAAGAUCGAGGAUUAUUACCCAUGUAAUUCAACUGCUCAUUUUCCAUACUGUGGCCAUAAGGUGGGUAUUCUGAAUUGCUUGAUCCACCUCUACUUGCUUCGCACUGCAUUACUAGGUGAACCUGUGAAUAACCAAAUAACCCGUCAAUUUUCUUAUUUAAUAGUUCUACCUGACUAGAGAGCAUCAUGACUAAAUCAACGUUAAAAACGUCAGUUGUUUUAGUCGGCUUUGUCCUCAUUACUUGCCACUGAUAAUUAUUCAGUGAGAUCUCUUCUAUAAAUUCAUAAGCAUCUUCAGAUGUCCUAUUAUUGAUAGUCCCACCAGCGGAUGCAUCGAUAAGUUGCCUUGUUGAGGGGUUUACACCGUUGUAAAACGUCUGAACUUGCUGCCAUAGAGGCAACCCAUGAUGAGGGCACCUUCUCAACAGAUCUUUGUAUCUCUCCCAUGCAUCAUAAAGCGUUUUUAGAUUCAUCUGCAUAAAAGAAGAGAUAUCACUACGUAAUUUAGUCAUUUUAGCCGACGGAAAAUAUUUUAAUAAGAAUUUUUUAUUGUCAUUUGUUCCCAAGUAGUGAUUGACACUCGUGGUAACGAGUUCAACCACUGUUUAGAUUUGUUCCUCAAUGAAAAGGGAAAUAACCGAAGACGAAUGGAAUCAUCAGAAAUGCCAUUAAUUUUAAAUGUGUCGCAAAACUCUAGAAAAUUUGCCAAGUGAUUGUUCCUCAUCCUGCAAACUAUCAAACUAAACAAAUUGUUGUAUCAUUUGAAUUGUGUUAGGUUUUAGUUCAAAAUUAUUUGCAGCAACAGCUGGCCUAACUAUACUUGACUCAGUUCCUCUUAAAGUAGGUUUAGCAUAAUCAUACAUAGUACGCGGAGUAGGAUUCUGAUUAGCAGCAAUCGCAAGAGGUAGCGGAUUUUCCUGAUUUUCAGUCAUCUCCUCAGUUGUGGUGGAAAUAUCGUCCUCUUGCUCUUUCUCUGUGUAUCUUAGGCUUUGCCUUAUUUCUCUUCGAUUUCUGUGAGCUGUGCGAUCGAUCUCACUAUCAAAAAGUAAUGGUCCUGACGGGUUUCUUCUAGUCAUGCACUAUAAAAACUUGCCAUAAGCGAAUAAACGAAAAAUAAGAAUAAGAAAAUAAAAUAAAAAUUCAAAUUGCAACAAAAGUAAAAUGGCUAAAGUAAUAAAAAUUGAGUGUUCCUAAUAUCUUCGUUCCCCGGCAACAGCGCCAAAAACUUGAUACGUGAUAUUCGCGACAGGUUUUAAAAAUUUAUAAUUAAUCAUUCUUGAAACUAACUAUUAUCACGAUGAAGCCAAAUGUACCUAUCGAACAGCAAUAUAGCUUUAGCAAGACCGGAUUGUCAAACCUAAAGGAACCAAGAGUAUUAGUAAUUGCUUUCUUUUUAUUAUCUAGCCUAAAAAUUAAGGGAUUUGUUUAUCUAACUAAUUAACUAAACUAAGGGUGCACAGAAAGAAAAUUGGGGAAAAGCUUUUGGGAAAACUCAAUUGAUUAAGACAAUACCCAAGGAAAAAUCCACCUAGACUUCACUUGUUAUUUGACUCUGAAUCAGACGAUUUAUUCAUUUGACUUGAUCCGUAGAAAUCCCUAAGUUAUAUUAUUAUCUCUCUCGAGACUGAUAACGUCUAACCCUAGGUUGAUUAAUUGAAAUCUCUUUCUAAUUAACACCCUAGUGUUGCAUUAACUCGAUCUAUGGACUCCCUUAUUAGGUUUCACCCUAAUCCGGCAAAAUCUUGUCACCCUAUCUCUAAGCGUGCAAUCAACUCCGCUUAAUUAUGAAAAAUUUACUCUUAGACAGGGACUUUUGCUCCUCUGAAUAAGGGCAUUAACUUGAAUCAAUAUCUUGGAAGAUUAAACCAAGAAUUAAGAACACAUAAUUAAGAAUAAGUCAAAUAUUUAUCAUACAAUUCAGAUAAUAAUAACAAGAUCCGUCUUAGGUUUCAUUCCCCUUAGGUAUUUAGGGGUUUUAGUUCAUAAUUAUGAAAGAAAACAUCUCAAAAGAAAAAUGAUAACAAAAUAUAAAGAAAACCCAAAACUCCUGAAGGAAAUUGAAGGAGAUCCUCAGUCUUGACGAAUAAUCCAGAUUUUGAGAUGGAUCAAUUGGCUUUGCUUGAGUAAUUCAUUGCCUCCUACUCCCUGUGUGUCUUCUAAGUGCCUCCCCAGGUGUUUAAAUAGGCUUUAGAAUGCCUAAAAGCCCUCAAGAGUGGCCUUUUUCGAAUAAUACUGAACUUGGGCUCGACAGGGACACGCUUGUGUGACACGCCCGUGUGCGAUUGCUUCAGACCAUGGUCAAGGCUGUUAAAUAGGCACGGGCGUAUGGUCUAUCUGUGUGAGGAAGUCCAGGCCUUGUUAAUUUCCCAUGUUGGUCUAUUUUCUUCGUUUUCGGCCCAUUUCUUAUGCUCACCUAAGUAUAAAACAUGAAAUUAAAGGAUUAGGAGUAUCGAAUUCACCAAAUCUAAUGAUAAUUCAUCCAAAAAUAUGCUAAGCAUGAGGUAAGAAUAUGUAUAAAUUAUGGUUUAUCAAUGGACUAUCACAGAAGGUGUCAUAGGUUUCUCCAACAUGGGCUUAUACAUAAUUUCAUGUAUUGUGAUCUGCCAUUUCAAAUUAUACAUUAUCGAAGGCUACACCAUAAGCAUAUAUACAGACAUAUCUUGCAAUGGGUCUUAGCCAUAUAGCUUACACACACAUUCAUGUAUUGUAAUCUGCCAAUCCAAUCUUCAUCUUAUUAGAGGCUACACCAUGAGUGUUUCCAAAUCAAAGUAAGAUGUCAUGGGUCUCAACCUUAUAGUUUAUUCUUGUUUUCGUAUCGUGAUCUGCCAGUCUAGUUAGCAAUAUAACUGCCCUACCAGAGGCAUCAUAGAGGAAAAUUUGCUCAGCAUUUACUUCCCUAGAUGAUCACCUUUUUACUAGCUCAUACAUCUCCUACAUCAGACCUUACCUGCAUGCUUACCAAACAUUAUUCUUUUUAAUAGAAUUUAUACAUAUCAUCGUAGCACAUCUUUCAUCUUUGCUAAACUCAUAUUUAUACUAAUUUCUGUAGACAUCAUCAUCACAUAUAUAUAUGCUUCUUGUUUGAACAGUUCAUAUCAAAAAGUCAGGAUAGAGACCCACUUAACUCUCAUCUAUUGCAGUUCAAAGUUCUGGACUCAACCACCCUUCUCAAACCAACAGUAAAAACUGCUUACAAAACAUAGAAUCACCAUUAAAACUCAUUUACAUACAAAUUACCAUCAUCUUAAUCACUUUUCCGCUGCUAAUUAAUAAAUAAAUGUUGAGUAGUAAAUAAAUAAAAAAUUAACUAAGUUUUCAAAAAAAAAAAGUCACUGUGAUGAGAAGAAUAAGUUUUCAAAAACAAAAGUCACCGUGAUGAGAAGAAUGUCAAAAUUAAUUGGUUUUUGUUAACUCAUAUGUUUUUCUAAAAAUAGGUUAAGUUUUCUUCUGAAAUAAACAAAUAUUUUGAAAUGAUUGUUUUAUAAACUCCAAUCAUAGGCCAUCUUAGUGGUCGAUGUAAUCUCCCAAAUUCGGUUCUAACAUCUAGGUUGGGUUGGAGAGGUUACAAUAUAUAUAGAAGGAUUCAUCAAUAAUGGAAACUUGAAUACAAGCAAAGAAAGAAAUCAAUCAAUGUGAAUUACUAACAAGUUCAAAAGCAUAUAUUUGGAUUAUAUUUUGUAAAGUACAAGAAUGUCAAGGAAUUAGACAUUUUGUUUUGAUAGUGAUUAUAUUUUAUAUAUAUUUACUUUUAUGCACUUUCAUAUUGAGUUGAUCAACAGUUUUGAAACUUUAUAGAAAACUUCAAGGUAUCACUUGUUGCGUAAGUGAUAUUUUACUAAGGGUGCAUAAUUGGAGGCCUCCUAGAUAUGUGAAAAUAAUGUUUAAAAAUCCAUCAAAUAGUAAAAACAUAAAUGAAAUAGCAUAUUGAUAUAUAUGGUAUCUUGAGUGUUGAAUUAAACAUUCUUUAGUAAAAGAAUGUACAUUUUGCACAUUGUGGGUGUGUUGGUUUCUUAUAUAUCAAUUAAGCACAAAUUAAAGAAAAAUAAUAUAUAUCACCAUAGUGUUGUAAUAUUUUGUAAAAUUUGUAAAAUUAUAUAAGCAAAAAAGUUUACCUAUCUCGUUAAAUAAAACUCAUUGAGUUGGUUCUUAAUAUUGAAGAAUUAGAGUGGUUGACUUCUUUAUUCAUUUUAUCCAACUACAAGUUGGAUUAAAGUUGUGGAAAUAGAAUGGUUGAAAAUUUGUGUUAAUGAGAAUUAAAGUUGUGGCCACAACUGAUGCCGACUAUUUUCUAGAAACAGGGACUGAUGUCCAAAACAUGUAGUAAAAUAAAAUUUUAGACAUGUUAGCAUAUGAAUUUAUUAUAUUAUAGAUUCAAUGUAACACCCCUAUCCUAUCUCUGUUGCUGGAUUAGGAUUUCAGACUAUUACUAAGAAAAAUAGAACAUUUAACUUUCCAACAGAAACAAUUAUACAAUUAAAUACCAACAUAUAUCAAUUAAAUCUAAUCAUGGCAAAUAUUACACUUAUAGACCUUGAAUCGAGCCUAUGGAGCCCUAGAAAAAAUUUAGGAACAAUUUGGGAUCAAAUCGAAACAAAUCAAAACAUUUUGAAAAAAAUAUAAAAAUUUGGGAAAACAGGGGUCACACGGUUGUAUGGCCAAGUCGUGUGACAAAGCCUACACCGCGUAAACAUUAGAAGUCAAAACACUCAACUGUGUCCCAGCCUGUGUGUCUACUCAUGUGUAUAAUCGAAAUAGGGUCACACAGCUGUGCUGCAGACUGUAAACCGUGUGUGUAUUCGAAGUUAGGUCACACGACCAUGUGACCGACCGUGCCACAAACUGUUUUGAGACACACGGUCGUGUCACAGACCAUGUGAAAUAUGCACCUAAAAUAAUAAAUAUACACGACCAUGUGUGGUGACUAUGUGUGGCACAUGGUCGUGUGGUAGCUUGUGUCUCAGGCUGUGUGCUCCAUUUUUAACCCCUAAAUUAAGUUAAUCAAGCAUCAUUUCUUGCACAGCAAGACAUACCAUAUCUAACUAAUUUUACAUGGUAAAAAUCACAUUCAGAUCACCAAAUACAUACCAAAAUUUCAUUCAUCCUAUGUCUAACCAAUAUACCAUCAAAAGGCAUCUCAAUCCAUACAUUCAUUCAACUCAAGAACAAAGUUACAAUAAAGGAACAAGUUUUAUCAUUAGUUAACCAUUCAUGCCUAAAACCACCAAUCUAAUUGACGAAAAUAUGGGCAUACUCAACAAGCAACCAUUUCAAAACAUCAUCACCAAAUCUUUAUAUACCAUUUAGGAUCAACUUAAUUAUAUCCAACACAAGUACACAUCCAAAACAAAGCACAUCACUAGAAAUACCAAAAUAACUUAACGAUUUACACAUCAACAAUAAGACACCACAUCCCAAAAUGAAAUACAAAAGCUACCGAGAUGGCUGGAUAGUGUGUGCUCCAAAACAAUUCGUCUAGUCAGUCCAUAAAACGCCAACUCAACCAAUAUAGAUAAACAAAAAAGAUAAGUUCUAAUUCUUGAUAUUCAAAUGCAAGAUCACACCACAUUAGUAUAUAUUUAUUUACAUCAUAAAUGAUACCUUCCAAAAGUCAUAACCAAUUCAUCAUCCAAAAUUUCUCAAUACAACCAUUAACAUUUAUAAAACAAAAACUUCAUAGAAACAUUUAUCAUUUAGUAGUAAUAUAACUAUCCAACAAAAUUGAACAAAUAAAUGAGUUUUAAGUCAUUUGAUGCAUAUCCCGCUGAACUAUAGUAACUAGACUCGGAUACUCAAUGAUGCAUAACAGAGGCACCAAAGUGCAAACAGAGGAAGGAAUAUGCAAUCAAAGGCAUUGAAGUGCAAACAAAUGCACCAAAGUGCAAACCCGUACAAGCGCACAUUAAAACCCUAUUGGCAUACUAAUCGUAUCCUAAUCAUUUACUAUGUUCAAUGGGGCAUUAAGAAUGGGGCAUUAUACUUAAAAUCGCAAUACCAAUAAAUCCAUCAUUUAGAGGCACUUCUUAUUUCCGUACACAUAAUAACAAUAAUUACCAUCAUCAAACAUUCAUUUUAUAUUUGUACUUAAUUACAAAUUUUAAUAAUAUAUAAGUAACUAAUGAAAUUUCCCAUAUAUACCAUUAACUAGAAAAAAAUAAUAUAAUCAUAAAGAGAUACACAUAUACAUAUUAUUACAUUAUGAACUUACCUGCAAUCCACUUCCAAAUAAUAUACAGGGACUACUCCGCAAUUUUUCUCUUUCCUCGAUUAUUGUCUUUUUGACUCGGUUCUUGAUCUAUAUAAUAAUUAAAUUUAAUUUAUUAAAUUUACAUAAUUUAAAAAUCAAUUCAAUGCAUGACACCCUUAUGUUUUCAUUAUUUUCACAUUUUCCUUAAACUUUUACAUUUCUCACAAUUUAGUCCCUAAACCCGAAAUUCCAAAAUUUAACAAAAUUUUACAAUUUUCCAUGCUAGCCGAACUUCUUUCUAAACUAGUACAAUCCCCAAUUAUUUACAAUUCACAAAAUUUCUAUGCAAAUUUUAAUUAUUUACACAUUGAUCAUUAAACUCAAAAUUAACACAAAUUCUUUUACAAAAAUAUCCUAAUCAACAUUCAAAUAUAUACAACUACCAUUAAAAAUCAUGAACACCAAAAUUCCAUUACUAACCAAUCCCUAAAACUUCAACAUUUUUAUAAUUUCAUCCUCAGGUUUAAUAGUUUAAGCUACAACGAGUUCAAAAAAUAUAAAAAUUAUUAAAUAUGUGAGAGAGAAACACUUACAUGCACCAAUUUGCUAACCGAAACUUUAAGCUCAAAAAAUGGAGUUUCUUUUUUUCUUUUUCUUUUUUGGUAGGAGAGAGUUGAGAAGAUGAUGAUACCAUAUUUUAUCUUUUGUUUCUUUUCUUUAAUUAAACUAAUUACCAAAUUAACCUUUUAAUCUGAACUAAAUUAUUAACAUAACAUGACCAUAAUUUUCCAUUAACUAACCAUAAGGUUUAUCUAUCAAUCAAGUCCAUUAUUUUAGUUUUUCUUUAAAAAUCAAGCACAUUUAACUAAUAAAAGCUACUUUAGCAUAUUUUACAAUUUAGUCUUUUUUACUAAAUUAACUAACUAGACAUUAAAAUUUCUUAUCCAAAUUUUAAUACGACUCAAAUAUAACUCUAUAAACAUAAAAUAAACAUAAAAUACUAACUCACUUGUUGGAAUUAUGGUCCUGAAAUAACCAUUUUCGAUACUACUGAAAAAUGGGAUAUUACAUUCAAUCUCUAAUUUAUGCUAAUGAAUGUGAGAGAAUAAUUUUCUUUGUAUAGUAAUACUACAACUAGAAUGUGUUUCGAUCCUAUUCUUAGAAACUGAUAGUAGAAACCCAACUUUUAAUUAGAAACCUCUUGUUUUAAAGUUCAAUGGGUAAAAGCAAGUUAUCGUUAUAUGUCUGUGAUACACUAGUAAAACUCAUUAUAGAAAAAAAAAGUUUAAUGGAAACUAGUGUUAUCCAUUGCGUAUAGAGGAUGAAUUUGAAUACUAUUAAUGAAGUUCAUUGUUUAUUGUUUAAAUGUCUAAAGCAAGGGAAACAUUAAAAGAACUCUACCUAUAUAAACAUAAGAAGUGAUGCCACUUCAACAAGUAAAGGUAGGGUCUCUCUUGUAAAUGUUUAUUAUGAACAAGAUAAGCACAUGAUCAUUUUAGUGCUAAAAGUGAACAACCUCUGAUAGAAAUAUAAAUGAAUAUUAUGUGUAGUGUAUUUCAACUUCUAAUACUAGGAGUUGUGGUUCAAUCUUCGGACACCAACGACUUAUUAGAACUUUGAAAAGCAUCCGCUAAUUGAUGGUUCAUAUUGAGAGAUAUCAUCUUAUAUGCAUAAUAUUUGUUGGAGUGAAUGGCUAUAAAGUAUGGUACCAACAUUUAAACUAAGGGUGAUUGUUAGUAGUUUAUAAUGUUGGCAGUAAAAAUAUUUUAUUAUGUAGAAAAGUCUAAUAACUUAUAAUUAUUGGCCAAAUAAUUGUGUUGUAAAGAGAAUUUUUGUAUGUAAAGUUGUCUUAUAAACUUUAUGUAAAGUUGUGUUGUAAAACAACACAAUUAUAUGAAAAGGUAUCUUAUUAAAAGAUAUAUUCAUAUUAAAGGGUAUCUCAUAAAAGAUACAUCUAUUGGAUGUCUAUAUAAAAGACUUUUCUAUUAGUCAUUUAAAUUGUUUUACUUGGAGUGUUGAGGCCUUUAUUGUAUCUUGAAGGUAUUUUAAAAUCUUAAAGAAAGUGCUCUACAUGCCUCAAAGUCGUUAUAUUUUAUAACAUUAUUUUAUUUUUCUAACUUCUAUUUUCCUAUUAUUUAUUUUUCUAACAGCCAGAAUAUAGAAAAAUUAUUAUGUUUCUAACUAUAUAUUAAAUACGAGUACUACUUGGAAGCCAGCACCCACAAACAUGAUAAAAGUUAAUUUUGAUGAGAGUUUUGACGUGGAAGCAAGAAAUGAGGAAGAGGGUAGUUAUGCAGCAUUGUGAUGGUUUUUUAGUCCGACUACGCAACCAUCCAAUUUAGGGUGCGUUCUACAUUAAGGUGAAAAAGCACUUAAAAAGAACAUUUGGUUUUUACACUUAAAAGUGUGAUGGAAAAAUACUUUUUCAUUCAAAUACAAAAAUUAAGAUAUAAAUGCUUUUGACUUUUAGCUUUUACAUUAGAAUGUGAAAAUUAUCAAAUACUAUUAUUUAUAUUAACUAUUUAAAGUGUAUAUAAAAAUUAGAUUAAUUUAUAUUUUAUAUAUCAUUAUAUUAAAUUAUUUAAAUAUUAUUUAUUAUUAUAUCUUUUAAUAAUUUAUAUAUCAUCUAUUUUACAAAUAAUUUAUAUUAAUUACUUCAAAAAUAUUUGGAACUUAUAUUUCAUGUACCAUUAUAUUAAAUUAUUUAAAUAUUACAUAACUUAAAAUGUCCUUUUCUUUAGACAUGAUAGACUUUUAACGGGAAUUUUUUGUAGUAACGGAGAACACCAAAAACUAAUGAGUACAUUUUUUCAUAGCACUUUUCUACCACUUUUCAACUACAACGGUAAUGGAGAACUAAUCCUUACUAAAGUUACCGAAGCACUAGCUUCCACUGUAGCCAUUGAAAUGGGGCUCCAAUUGGGAUUGCAACACAUUAUUAUUAAAAGAGAUGCUCUCUAAGUGGUUUCGAAGUUGAAGGAAGACAAAGAAGACCUACCAACAAUCGGACCUUGAUAGCAAAGAGUUGAAUACUUGCUAAACAGGUUCAGCAAUGUAGGUUUCAACAAAGAAAGAGGCAUGCUAAUGAGGUGGCACAUCAUCUGGCCAAACAGGGUGCAAUGCCCAAUUUCUGCCCGGGCCUAAUCAAAACAGCCCAAAGCAGAAAGCCCAAUUUUUCUAGACCUAGCCCACAACUAUUUUCAGCACCACCAUGCACCCAUUUUCUCCACCACUCUUCCACUCCAGAACACCCACGAACGGUUUCCCUCCAUGCCAUACAUACCUGCAAAAUAGAUUAAUGACUCAUAGCAGUUGACAGUAGAAAGAAAUAACAACAGGAAACGGUUUUGUACUUGGCUAUAAAGCCUUUGAAUUUUUCAUUGUUUGGUUUUUUUUUCUUUCUUUUUUUUUUCAGAGAGAUUGUACACGAAAUACAUACAAAAAUCAAUAGAAAGCAAUUCAAAGGUGAUUUAUCGCUAUUUAUUGUGUUUUUUUUUUCAAUUGGGUUUACAUACAAGUAUAAAAUAUAAGAGAGAACGAGAGGCUUACCGGAGUUAUAUCGCAUUCACGCCGUCGGUAGGACUAGCUCCGUUGGUCACGAACAGAUUUUGGGAGUGGUUGGGGGCUUGAAAGGAGCCUUUCGGCUGGAGAAUAAAGGGAGAGUGAGGGAGAUGAUAUAAUAUCCAAGGCAUUUAGGGUUUUUUUUUUUAAAUAAAAGUUAAAAAGUUUUCUUUUAAGCACAAUUUUUAAAGCGGGUUUUAGGUGAUAAGAAUGAAACAGCAUGGGGAAGGGAAAGGAAUAGCGUGUUUAACUUGGUCCACGUGCAUUUACCCCUUAAAUGGGUAAUUUUCGUUAUCAGUCCUCCUUACUUGCGUCACCCUUUAUUUGAUCCUAUUCUGUUUCUUUUAUUUUUGCCUUGAAUUUUGCGCACCGUUCCAAUUUAGUCCGAGCAUGAGUGUUGCUUUUUUGGGGUUGGGAACAUUUUCAAUUUUAGCCCUUAUACAUUCACGCGCAUUGCGCUUUGGUCCCUAUUUCAAUUUCAAUGGUUUUUUUAUUUGUUAAUUGUCCCUUUAAUUUUGCUUUUCUUCCAAUUAAGUUUUUAUUUAUUUUUUCCAUAAAAUAAGAAUAUAUUAUUUUAACAUAUAGUUUUGUUCAACAAAAUUCAUAUAUAUUUUUGUAUAUAUUAUUUUAACAAAAUAAGAAUAUAUUGUUUUCUUCAUAUGCAUAUUUAUUUGUUUUUUCUUCCAAAAUAAUUUCAUAUAUCAUUUUGUAUUUAUAUACUUUACUUAUAUUAAGUUUGCUUUAUAUCAUGUAUAUACGUAACUUAUACUAAGUUAUCUUUACUCUAAGUGUACAUUAUUGACUUCCUUUUAUUUUAUGUAAAUAUUUCCUUUUAUUUUAUUUUUUUAUGUAUAUUAUUGAUUUUAUGUUAUUUUAUGCUUGUUUAUUUUCUUCUAAGGACCCUAUUUUAAAUGGUAUAUUUUAUUUAUUUUCGUAUGCUAGUACCUUUGUUUUUUUUAUGUAUAAAUUUUCAUUUCAAGUAUUAUUUAUUUAGAUUGACAAAUACUAUGCUAUGUAUUACUUUUUUUAUAUAUAUACAUUAUGUGUCUUGAAAUAUCGUUUAUAUAUUAUUAUGUCGUACAUUAUUUUUAUUUUUAUUAUUUUUUGACCUAUUCCAGACUGUCAUAUAUGUUACCUUAAGAUUUUUAUACAUUUGUUUGAUUGCAUACUAACGAUUCCAAAUUGCAUUUCUUCUAUAUUAUCUAUAUUAUUUGUUAAAACUUGCCACAUACUUUUAUCUCAUGUACAAAACUAAGCUUGUACACAUGUUAUUGCAUCAUGAUCUUUAAAUUCCAACUCUUUGCCCAACAUCAAUCGUUUUUUAUCCCCAAGCAAACCAAACAAGUAUUUUUAAUUCGGUUUUUAUAACUGUUAAUUUAAAAAUUUCCCAAAACAAAGGCAAUGUUUGAUGUUUGAAAUUUUGGAAAUCGUGCCCUAACGUACUGGGUUUCGAUUUUUCGUUUAUCCAAAAUAAUCAAGUAUCCCCUUUAAAGUUUCGUAUGUGUUUUCUAAACUUCAAAACAAGGCAAUGUUCUAUGUUUUGGAAAUCCGAGAAAUCGUGCCCUAACGUGUUGGAUUUCAAUUUUUCGUUGGACCAAAUGAUCGAGUAUCCUUUUGAAAUUUCAAAUAUAUGAGCUUUUGGAAAUUAAGACUCGGUUGUGGUUUCGAGGGUUUAGAAAGUUAUGUCUUAACGUGCUGGAUGUGAUAUUUUAUUCCUUCAUAACAAAAGAAUUCUUAAUGACCAAUUUGAGUUAUUCAAAUAUUUUAAAAGAAAUAGUAUUUCAAAAUAUCUUUUAAAUUUUAGACAUAAGGACAUUGAUUAAUCAAUUAGGUACCAAUUUUGGGCGUCACGAGGGUGCUAGCCCUUCCUCGUGCGUAACCGACUCCCGAACCCUUUUUUCUCGACUUACGUAGACCUGAAAUUAUUGUUUUAAUAAAUCAAAAUGUUUUAUUAAAAUGAUCAAUUUCAAGGUGAUCCGAUCCCACCUCAGAAGGGAUCGGUGGCGACUCCAAACUUUGAUUUUUCAAAGUCGAUCCCCGUUUUUUUCAAACUUUUAGAAAAUGGUUUCGACACAAGGCCUUAAUUGUUUUCCAUCUUUUGUUCAUAUGUUUGUUUUGAAAAGGUAAAACAAAUCCUCACCUAUUGAUGUUAGAACGGUUGAAUUGCUAAAAGCAUGCUGCGUGCAUAACCAUGCUUUAGGUUAGGCUUCAAAUCAAAUAAAUUUUAAAUUAUUUUUAUUUGAAUUUAAUUAUAAAAAUAUAUUAAUAUCAAUAUAAAAUUAUAUACAAUUUUAAGAUAUUUUAUUUUUCAAUAAUAAAACGAAUCAUCUACCAACCCUAAUUCUUCAGUUUUCUUUUUAAUUAGAUGAUAACUCAAGCCAAGCUAACCAAUAAACACCCAAAAUCUACCAUCAUUUUCAUUUUUUUUUCUUUUGUCACAAAGUAGACAGAAGAUUCGGUUUGGAUAAGCUCUACGUUAUUAAGUCAAAAGCUGAAGUAAUUUUAAUCAUAAAUUGUUUUAUUUGUUUAUAAUGCAAAACAAUGACCCAAUUAAUACAAUAAAGCUUUAACUUUGUGGGAAUUUUCAGUCCAAAAAAAAAAAAACAAUUUGUGGAAAUUUUAGAGCAGUUGACCAUUUCUUCCGAAUUAGUUUUCUCACUUCUUGUCCAUAUUCCAUGUAUAUUAUUUCAAGAAAUUAGGUUUAGAAAAUUGCAUAAUUCAACCAUUGAACUAAUAAAUAUUAAAGAAAAAUUGGGUGGCAAAAAUAUCUUAUUAAAAGCGAAUCAUAUACUAUUAAUAGAUUUUAUGAUUAAAUUAGUUUCACGUGUUAACGGGAUAUUAACUUGAUUUAGUAAAUUAUAAAAAUGUCUUUUAAUGUUUAAAAUAAAUUAUAUUAUUUGAAGAUAUUUUAAUUUUUUUAUUAAAAAAGGAUGAUGUCUCAAAUUAACUCACAAUCUAAUUUAAUUUUUUAUUUUAAUAUCGUAAAUGUUUCAUGUUUUAUUAUUAAUUUGUUUCAAAUUAUACAUUUCAUUAUUUAUUUUAUGUUAUUUUUAAACAUAUUUGUGUUCUAAAUACCAAAUUUUCACUUAAGGGUAUCAGAGACGAAUCUAGAGAGGCUAGUAGGGGCCCCGGUCUCCUUAAAAUGAAAAUUAUUAUUUAAGCCCUUUAGAAAAUUUUAAAAUUUUAAAUUAGUAAAUGUAAAAUUGCACUUUGACCCCCUAAAAUUAUAAAAAUUUAAUUUAAUCUUUUAAAAAUUAUAAAGAUAUAAACUAGUAAAAAUUAAAAUUUCAUUUCGAUCCUCCCUAAAACAUAUUUUUGGCUUCACCUAAAGGGUAUGACUAGUAUGAAUAAUUUUCUUUGGAAGUCUUAAACAAACAGGAGUUAAGUAAAAAGGAGUUUUCAUACAUACAUAUUCGGCGUUGAUGUUUCCCUUUCGAAAAUUUAAAUUAAGACAUAGGAAAAGAAACUAAAAUUGAGCUUAAUUUAUGCAGUUGGGUUCAAAAUUUAAUAUUUAAAUAUAAAAAUUCUAAUAAUUCGAUCUGGUCCGUUUCAUCUAGCAGACUAAUAAUAAAUCUUAAAACAUAUUAUAUUUUAAUUUUAAUAAAACCAAAACUGAUACAUUUGACCUACAUCUACAUGUGAUCUAUGCUUAAUUAAAUUAGUCUAAAUUAGACGAGAUCUUGAUUAGGAGUCAUUUAUUUAUAUUAUAAGUCCCUGAAACAUGCAAAACUUACAUUUAAAAAUUAAUAUUUUUACGUUGUUGUUAGAAUAUAGGGUUUGUUAAUGUUUUCGUGUGAAGUCAGCUGUUGACAUUACCAACCAGAUAAUGAAAAGGGAACAUGGCAAUUAUUCCAUCCUAAUUGUCACACACACACACACACCUAAUUAAGUUAAUCCAAAAAUUACCUAACGUUUAGCAUUUCAAUGGUAGAGUCAGCUCUUUCUUCUAGUCUAUCAAAAAAAAAAAAUCAAUUUAACCCCUAACUCUUGGAUGGAAAAGUUUUUGCUAUGAACUUGUUGAAGUGAAUCUAAUGUGAUAUAAACACAUCACAAUCCAUGUGUGUAAUUAAAAAUAAUAGAGAGAGAUUGAAUAAUUUAAAGGGAAAAAAAAAGAAUUUACUCCCUCCACUAACAGGUAACUCUUGCAGCUUGAAUCUACAACGUAUGUAUGAAAGUGAACACCUUUAAUUAAUGAAUAAAUACUAAAGUUCUAGGUUUAGAAUUAAUUAAAUAUCAAUACAAAAAGUUAAUUACUUUUUGAAAUAAGGAUAAAUCGGUUUUUGAGGUUUGAUAAUUUUUCACAUAUCGAGGUUUGAAUUUUUUUAUCUUAAGUUCUAAACUUGACAAUAGUUCUCAAGAUGUGAAGGUUUUUUUUUUAUCCAAAUUAGGCUAUGAACUUAGAUAGAAAUCUUAAAAUUCAACCCUAAUGUAGGUAUAAUUGUCAAGUUAAAAAAAAUUCAAAUCUUAAUAGAAGAAUAAUCUACUAAUUGGUAACCCUAAUAUAAAAACAAUUGUUAAGUUGAAAACUUAAUUUUUUUUAAAAAUUCAAACCCUUAUUAACUUUAGGAUUUAACCCUUUGAAAUAUUGCGUUAAUUAAUAAGUGUAAGAAUUAUUUUGUGUUAAUGAUUAAAUAAAUAUUUAAGUGGAGAUCAAGUUUUACCUCAUUUGUCAAUUGUCAGGUGAAGAAUAUAUACCCUAAAGGCCUAUCAAAAACGGACCUAUCUCUAUAUAUCUUUACUAAUUUACUAUUCAUUUUUAAUGAAAAGCAAUAAAUUAAUGAAAACGCUAUAAAACGAAAACUACAUGAAUAAAUUAUAUGUGUAAAAUUGAAAUAUUUCGUGACGACAUUAUUGAAAAAAAUAAUCAUUAACCUUAAAUAUAAACAAUUAUGACAUUUCUAUAAAAUAUCAUUUAAUAUAUUGCAUCAAAGUUUUAAAAAAUGUUAUGUGUAUACUUUUACCUCGUAUAAAAAAGUCUUUCAUUUCUCAAUUCUUAUGGCAUAGUAAAUUUAUUAUUAAUUUUUAAAAAAAAUGGUUAUUAUUUGUGUAUUAAAUAAUUAUUGGGAUAAAUUUUAAAGUUGUACAUGGAUUUUGGUUACAUGUUAAUUAUAAACAUUAACUUUGAUUUUAUAUAAUUUUAUAUAUGAAAUUUUAAUUUGAUCCAAUUCUCAUAAAUUAUUAACAUAAUUAUUGAUAUAAUAUCAUUUUAUGUUUAUAUGCUAUAUACAGAAAUAAUUAUAUUUAUUCAAUAUAAAAAUUAAUUGAUGUAUUUAUUUCUUUAAACGUAUAUGAUUGAAUCAAAAUUAAAACAUCAUGUAUACAUUUGAACCAUAACUAAAAUUUUACAUAUAUAAUUAUACAAAAUUACAAUUCAUAUACGUAAUAAACUAAAAUUCAAUUUUUUUAUAAAAUUAACCUAAAAAAUUUAAUUAAUUACAUAAAUGACCCUUUUUUUUAUUAAACACGUAAAUGACCUAAAAUCUACCGUGAAAAUUGGUGGAAGCAAAGAGUUUGGCACCACCAACAUGCCACGUCAGCAACCAAGAUAAAAAAAAUCAACUUUUUGGUAGAGCCAUGCAUAAUAGUGCUACUUGUAUAAAUAUCAGGAAAAUACUAUAAUUUCUAAAAAAUAAGGGACUUUAAUAAAAAAAAAUUCUAUUUUCUGGUGGAGCCAAAUAAAUUGGCGCCACCAGUUUCCAAUGUGAUUUUUUUUAAAGUUUUCUAAAAUUUUAAAUAUAUUAAAAAAUGUUAAGUAUAAUUAAUUUUAAAAGUUUAAUAUAUUUAAAAAUUUAAUAUACUUAAUAUAUAUUUUUAAUAGGUAAAGAAAAAAAUGAUUUUUUAAUAUAUUUAAAAUUUUAAAAAACUUAAAAAAUUUAAAUACUUUAAAAAAUAUUAAGUAUAACUAAUUUUAAAAUUUUAAUAUAUUUAAUAUAUUUUUAAAAUAUUUUUAAAAUUUUUAAUAUAUUUAAAUUUUUUAAAGUUUUUUAAAAUUUUAAAUAUAUUAAAAAAAAUUUCCUCAUUACCUAUUAAAAAUAUAUUAAAUAUAUUAAAAUUUUAACAUAUAUUUUUAAAAUAUAUAUUAAAUAUAUUAAAAUUUUAAAAUUAGUUAUACUUAACAUUUUUUUAAUAUAUUUAAUUUUUUACUAUUUUUUAAAAAUUUUAAAUAUAUUAAGAAAAUAUUUUUUAUAUUUACCUAUUAAAAAUAUAUUUUAAGUAUAUUAAAUUUUUAAAUAUAUUAAACUUUUAAAAAUAAUUAUACUUAACAUUUUUUAAUAUAUUUAAAAUUUUAGAAAACUUUAAAAAAAAUUACAUUUGAAACUGAUUGGCUCCACCAGAAAAUAGAAAAUUUUUAUUAAAGUCCCCCCAUUUUUUAGAAAUUAUAAUAUUUUUUUGAUAUUUAUACAAGUGGCGCCAUUCUACAUGGCUCUAUCAAAAAGUUGAUUUUUUUUAUCCUGGUUGCUGACGUGGCAUAUUGGUGGAGCUAAACUCUUUACCUCCACCAAUUUUCACAGAAAAUUUUAAGUUAUUUAUGUGUUUAAUCAAAAAAAUAGAUCAUUUAUAUAAUUAAUUAAAUUUUUUAAAUUAAUUUUAUAAAAAAAACCCUAAAAUUCAUAUAUAUAACUGUAAGAUUUAUGUCCACAAUUAUCUAAAGCUAAUCGGUGAUAAUUACUAUGGAAAUUCAAUGUACUUAACUAAUUGAUUGAUAGGAACAAGCAUGAUGAAAUCCAUGAUUGGGAAGAGAGAGAAUUCAAAAACUGAACGCCCCAUUAAUCCAUGCGAAUAAACUUUUUCGGUAUACAUCAUAAUUCAUUUAAUUUUAUCAUUAUCUCUAUGCUAUAAUUAUGUUUAAACUAAAAUACUUGAGACAUUAAUAGUUUGUGUUAUAUAAAUUAUGAUAUCCAUAUAUCCAUAUUAUAUAUAUAUUUUUAUAUUAUGAAUGCAUUUAAAAAAAAAUUAUGAAAAAUGUAGAGUCCGCAAAUAAAAAAUGGCUUACAAAUUAACAGAAAACCAAUUUUAUUUCUUGUAAAUUGAUUUACCAUAUUAAAAAGUGUAAAUCUUUUUUUAAAUUUAUUUACGAGUAAUUUUAUUUUUAUAAAAAUUAAUUUUAGCCAAGCCUAAUAUUAUUUUAUUAAUAAUAUUAUUUUUAUUUUUAUUUUUAAACAAUUUAAAAUUAUUAAUAUCAAAUAUUAUAAUGUUGAAUCCUAGUAACAUACAUAUUAAAUUAUUUAUAUUAUGUUAUAUUACAAUUUUAUUUUAAUAAUAAAUUUUAACAACAAUAAUUUUAAAUUUUAAAUCGUAUUUUUAAUAUAUUAUUGAAAAAUAUUUAUAUUAAUAUUUUAAUAAUAAAUAUAUAUUAAAAUUUAUAAAUAUUUAAUAAUAAAUUUUUUAUAGUAUAAAAUAUGAAUAUUUUAAUUAUAUAGAUAUGAGUAUUUGUUUAAAUCAUGCUUAAGUUCAUUUAUCUCCCAACUCUAAUGUGUCAUUAUACACUGUCAUAUAUAUAAUAUAUGUAAUUUAAGCAUUAUUUAUUAUUAAAUUUAUAUAUGAUAUUAAUUAUAAUAAAAUAUUAUCUUAUUAUAAAAGAAAUUCCAAUUGUCAAAAAGAAAUGUUACUCUAAUAUUUUGUAAUAAGUAUAUUUAUAUUGUAUUUGUUUCACUAAUAACAAAUUUAAAAUGAUUUUAGAAAAAAAUAUCAAAAAAUAAAAAAUAUUUUAAUCAAAAUAAUUCAAAUAAAAAAAACUAAACUUUUCCAUGAAAUCAAUCCAAUUUUAAGAAAACAUUAAAAUUGUUUUAGGUGAAACAAAAGGAACCUAUAUUUUAUAUAGUAUUUGAAAAGUUGUUGUAUCUAGAAUUAUUAUCUUUAAUUUUUUUUAGGUCUAUUUCUAAUUUUCAAAAAUUGAGAAGUUAAUUUCUCUAUUUUACUUUAUCAGUCCGUGCUUAUUUUUUAUUAAUUUGUUGUGUAUAAAUGGUUAAACUAUUGAUUUUUGUUAAUUACUAGCAUGUAAAUUGUUAAACUACUUGUUCCCAAGUCAACAGUAAAGCUUAAUAGUAUUAUCAAUUUGGAAUAAUUUCUGAGAUUUUUCUUUUAUUUUGCGUGAUUAAGAUAUUUUUCAUGUACGGUUUAAGGUUUAUGAAGACUAAUCCUUUCGAGUUUAUAACUACCCUUUUUAAUAAUGUCGUCUUUAAAAUUCGAGUUCUCUUUCUUGUAAGUACAAUAUGCCUUACAUUUAUAACUAAUACUUCUUAUUUUUGUAAAAUAUAAGAAUCAAAUUAUGUAGUAAGAUUAAUUUCUAGAUUUUUUAAAUUUAAAAUUUAACAUUUAAAAUAUUAUCAAUCACAUCACACACAAAACCAAAGAGCAAGAGAAUCUAAAAAACACGUGGACCAUUAAUUUAGGAAUGGACAGAAACUCAUGCAAAAUGGUUGGAAAACACGUACAGGAUUAUAUAUACUAAUCAUUUUUAUUAUUAAGCAGAAUUGGAAAUAAAUAAAUACGGGCGAAACCACUGAAUAAUACAGCAUUGAAAUGCAAUUUGUCUACAUCAUUAUUGUUCUUCACUUCAAACGCGGAGACUAGUCUAGGGUCCCAAUCUUUUGCUUUAUCUCUCUAGAUAUAUCCUUUUCAAACUAUCUUUUUGUAGCUUUAUUUGCAUCACAGCAUUAUCUUUUCCUGCAAACAACUGUUUAAAGAUUAAAACAUGCAAAACAUUCUGAAAUAAUGCACCCUGACCAGAUGACAAAAAAAAAAGAGGAUUCUAAUGUAUCUUACCUUGGAUUGGAGCACGGUCAAAGCCGUGGCUUAGUAGUGGUGAGGAGGAGGGGGUGAAGCGUAGACAUAAUGGGGUGGGGGUGGAGGAGGAGACUUGUAUUUGUAAACUGGAGGAGGAGGUGGUGGAGACUUGUACUUGUAAGGGUGCUUGGGGGGUGAUGGUGGGGGUGGUGGGGGUGACUUGUACUUGUAGGGGUGCUUGGGUGGUGACGGUGGGGGUGGGGACUUGUACUUGUAAGGGUGCUUGGGGGGUGAUGGUGGUGGUGGUGGAGGUGACUUGUACUUGUAGGGGUGCUUGGGUGGUGACGGUGGUGGUGGUGGGGGGGACUUGUACUUGUAGGGAUGCUUUGGUGGGGAUGGUGGUGGUGGUGGUGGGGACUUGUACUUGUAGGGAUGCUUAGGUGGGGAUGGUGGUGGUGGUGGAGACUUGUAUUUGUAAGGAUGCUUUGGUGGUGAUGUUGGUGGAGGUGGUGGGGACUUGUACUUGUAAGGGUGCUUGGGUGGUGAUGGAGGUGGAGGUGGUGGAGACUUAUACUUGUAAACUGGAGGUGGUGGGGGUGGAGACUUGUACUUGUAGGGGUGCUUGGGUGAUGAUGGAGGUGGAGGUGGUGGAGACUUAUACUUGUAAACUGGAGGUGGUGGGGGUGGAGACUUGUACUUGUAAGGGUGCUUGGGUGGUGAUGGUGGGGGUGGGGACUUGUACUUGUAGGGGUGUUUAGGUGGUGAUGGUGGUGGUGGUGGUGGGGACUUGUACUUGUAAGGAUGCUUGGGUGGUGAUGGUGGUGGAGGUGGAGGAGACUUGUACUUGUAAGGAUGCUUGGGUGGUGAUGGUGGUGGAGGUGGUGGAGACUUAUACUUGUAAACAGGAGUUGGUGGGGGAGGAGAUUUGUACUUGUAAGGUUUCUUGUGUGGUGGUGGUGGAGGAGAGUAGACCGGAGGAG